GUACACAUCCUUGAUAUAUUUUGCCUGUGAAGUGUGAGGCCAAGGCAUUGAAAUAUUCGAAGUAUUUGAUAUGGAUUCUGUGCUUCAUUCAUGCACUAUUCUUUAUAUUCAAAAUGACAAAAUCUUCAUUUCCUCAUGCAUUUUAUGAUUUUGUAACCUAUUUUACCUCUUAAUUUGUGACUUCUUGAUUUCAGAACAGGCUGAAUCUUACAAAAACAGUUCGCAAGUUUUCUAUUGAUUCAGAUUUAAGACCCACUGGGUCUGAAUUUCAUUCAGGCCCAGCUACCAACGUCAUUAAGCAUGAUGAUAAAGUGGAUGAAGAAUCCCUUGAAGGUGCUUUUGUAUUCACAUCAGACAAUUUCGAUAAAUAUGCUCAUCAGUAAGUGGGCCAAUCAUGUAGUUCAUUUCAUUCAUUUGAUUUUUAUGAGUUUCAGUUGUGAGAGAGUUGAAGAGUUCUUUUCCCUUCUUUUCUCAAAUUGCACUAUAGUUAAACUUCAUUACACUGUUUUGAAUGAUCUUUUGGCAGAUUUCCAAUUACUGCUGUAAAUUUUUAUGCUCCUUGGUGUUACUGGAGUCAACGCUUGGUAAUUAUUUCAUCUUCAUUUCUCUCUUUCUCCCCACUUUAAUAAAUAACGUUGCUGAUAUCCUUACUGUUGUCCAGUUACAUUUACUUAUCUUUUUCUACUAUCAAUAAUUUCUUAUUCCUUUUGUGCGUUUUAGGUAAUGAAUUUUAAUGAGAUAAUGUAGGAUUUUAAUGACUGAAAGCCAAAUAAUUUGUUUAGAUAUAUACAGAAAGAAAUUUUGACAUUACUUGAUAACUUUAUUGUAUAUUUUUUAAUAGAAAAAGUGAAUUUGAAAGAUAAUAGAAACAAAAGUUAUAUGAUGAAAUCGGUGUAUUACACAUCAGAGCUCUGUUAUAUAUUUUAUAUACACACUGAGUUACAAUAAAUACAAAGAUUACCAUUACCUUACUUACCAUAUAGAUCAUAUGCUCCAAGGUUGUUUCAAAUGUAGCUUGUACAAGGACCCCACAAUUACUUACUGACAAUAUUUAUCAAUUGAUUAUUUGAACUAAUAAAGCUAGUGGUGGUGUCUCCAAAUAAAAUCAAUUUUUUCUCUAAUGAAAUGGCGUUUGUCUCAAUGAAUGUGUUUGGUACUCCCGUGAAAUACUGGGUUUGUGGCAAUUUGCAGGGCAACUUGAUUAUCACAGAGUGUUAUCCAUGUAACCUCUCCAAAACUAUUCUCGUUAAGUAACUAGUUGAGCCAAAUGAGCACACACAAGUAGCCGAUGUCAUGACCCUUAGAUUCAUAAUUUGUUUCUGCACAUCACCUUGCAACAAUAUCACUUUUAUUUCUUUUUAGAGUGAUAAGGUUUCUUUUCUUCCAAUGAAUAUACAAUACCUGGAAGUAGAUUUCCUAUCAAUAGGAGAGCUUGCCCAUUCAACAUCUAAAUAUUCCAUAACAUGAGUAUCCUUAUCUUCAUAUAGACCUUUUCCUAGAGUUGAUUUAAUUGAAUAUACUUCAAGAUGUGAAUUAUGAUAUCCCGAUGUUCUUCACAAAGCGAGUUAAGAAAUAGACUUAUCGAGGUAACAACAAAGGAGAUAUCUUAGUGAGUGACAAUGAGAUAAUUUUGUUUAACUAAUUUUUUUUGUAUCUCUAGAUCUAAAACUGGGCUCCCCUGAUUUGCUAGAAUCGUGGCAUAAAUGUUUAGCAUUCAUCAAACCUUAUUUAUGUAUUACUCUUAUAUCUUUCCUUUCACUCUCUUAUGUAUAAUGACUGAAGGUGGUUAUUUGUAUAUCACUUUUAUCUCUUUCCUUUCAGAGACCUUCAUGGGAGAAGGCGGCUAAAAUAAUGAGAGAGAGGUACUCUUCAUUUUGCAAUGUUUUUCUCACUUCCUAGAAACCACGCUUUGGAAAUUCUACCCUUUCAUCUCUUUAACUUGACAUCACUUUACUAAUUCAGUGCCUUGUAUGUACAAUUGCAUUUUUAUUUAGAUAUGAUCCGGAAAUGGAUGGUCGAUUACUUAUGGGGAAGGUAGAUUGCACUCAAGAAGGAGACUUGUGCCGGAGGUGCCUAUUUUUCUUAUAGUUUUUGUAAAAAUAACAAGAAGUUCAUGAUCAUUCUUCAUUAUAACCAUAGCAAAAUUUGUAAUUGUAGUAUGCCAAAUUCUCAGUUGUUAAAUCUUUCUCCAUUAACUUUUCAAUCCACCUGCAGAGAGGUUGAUUUUGAUGAAAUUUAGUUUAUAUAUUCUCAGUUUAUUUUCAUUACUCGUACAUUCCUUUUGAUUUUCAAGCAAGGCAAUGUGAUUUAAUCUCAACUCUUUUUAUUCCUCCAAAAUAAUUCCCUUUUCCAUCACCUCAUACAAACAGAGUGCUGACACCAAAAAUUAGGAAAGACAUAAAUUGAAACAGCUGACAUUUUCAUUGUUUCUAGAAUUGUAGACAAUUGUUCACUUUAAAAAUCUCUUACCUCCUUAUUAACAAAAGUAAAAUGAACACAAAUUUUAAGAAAUAAAAACAGAAAAUGUUUUCACAAAGUAAAUGCCCCUAUGCUUUGUAACAAGUAGAUUUCAUGAUAUAGGUUCAUUGAUUUUCUUAGCUUACUGUGAAGAUGGAGAUUAGCUUUAAUCGUAAGUUGAGCAUUAUUUGAAGUGCAUGUUCUUCAUUGUAAUUUGAUAUUUUCUUUUUAUCACUUGCUAAUUUUUCUAUUUUUUUCUUAUCAUUUACCAUAUGUGCUUAUUGCACUAUUUUUUUGUAUCUCAUUACCAAUAUCCAGGCAUCACAUACAGGGGUAUCCAUCGAUUCGUAUCUUUCGUAGAGGAAGUGAUGUCAGGUAACAAUGAAAAAUAUUUUUUAUGUGGGAAAGAAUCAAUACCUACUCACCUGCUUGUGCUUUUUUGGAUAUUAUGUACUUUUUUAUUUGCUUAAAUAUAUUACAUUUUCCCACAAGAAUGAUAUAAGUUCUUUUUUCCUUUCAAAAAAAUUAUGGGAAUGGUCAUCAAAAUCGUGUCUAGAAUGGGAGUAGUGAUCAAAGCCCAAAGGUUGUGGCAGAGACAGUCGGAGGAUGUAAGGAUACAAGUGCUAUAGGUAGAUCAGCUUAAUAUUGAACCAAAUAUAUGGGAUGUGAAUUACUCUAACCUCUGUAGUCGUAUCGAAAGAUGACUUUGGGCUGUUUUAUUACUCCUCCUCUACGAACUUGCCGAUGAAUCAAUUUGAUAGGCUAAAUCAAUUCUAUUUCAAUAUGUGGUUCUCCCUUGUAAUUAUUAGUAUAAAUUCAUAUUUUGGUAAAACCUAUGUGAUUAGUAUCUGGAUAGUUUUUGUAUAUGUUCCAUCCUGAAUAUUGUAUCACCUGUGAUUGGGUUUCUAGAGUUUUGGAUUUUUGAAUAUAUCUAGUUUUUUUAAUCUUUAUCCUAUUUCAGAAAUGACCAUGGAAAUCAUGAUCACGAGUCCUAUUAUGGAGAUCGUGAUACAGAUAGCCUUGUUAAGGUACAAAUUAAUUUUAAUUUAAAUUAGUAUGAUUUGAAUCAACUUUACUUUGAAGUGUUUAUGCCUUUAAAUGUAAUUGAACAUCACUAUUUAUCAUUAGUGUGCAACUUACGUGAUAUGAAAUGUCUCCACUGCAGACAAUGGAGAAUUUAGUGGCGUCUCUCCCUGCAGAGGCUCAGAAGCUAGCUUUGGAUGAUAAAUCAAAUGUUACAGAGAAUGCUAAAAGACCAGCACCAUCAGCUGGGGGUUGUAGAAUUGAAGGAUAUGUACGUGUCAAGAAGGUAAACACCAAUAGGCAUAAAAGUAGCCUUCUAGCGUAAUGUGGAAAAACUUCCUAAUUGUCAAAUGUGAGGAUGAACCAAGAUUCUUUACAUUGCUCUUGUUUUUAAAAUGUCUUUUGAAUUUUAAUAGAAGCAUCAGUUAUCAAUAAUAUAACAGCAGAAGUAAAUGAAAUAAGGCAUAUGACCUCCUAUUCUUUUUCUUUCUUUCUGUAUUUUAAAUAUUAUGCUGAAAUGUAAGCUAUUUUGCACUCUGCAGGUUCCUGGAAACUUGGUGGUCUCAGCUAGAUCUGAUGCCCAUUCCUUUGAUGCUUCUCAAAUGAACAUGUCACAUGUCAUACACCAUUUAUCUUUUGGAAGGAUGGUGUCACCUCAGGUUAUGAGUGAUGUCCAGCGCUUGAUACCUUAUGUUGGUAGCAGCCAUGACAGGCUGAAUGGUCUGUCAUUCAUCAACACAGAUGAUUUAGGAGCAAAUAUUACUGUAAGUUAACAUUUUGCAUAAAAUUUCCUAAUUUAGUAACUUUUUUUAUUUGAGCUUUUGAAGUUUUAUGGUUGGCAUCAGGAAGAUUUAUUGUUAAUGGCAGAUUGUAUUGACCGGCAUCUGCAAGAGCCAGAUGCAAUAGAUAGCAUCAAUAUACAUGGCCAGAGAUGCUUUAUUUAUUUUUGGAGGUUAUAAUUGUCCUCUAAAUCUUUCUUUGAAAUUGAUACCACAUGCCACUCCAACACCUUUGUAGGACAAGAUUGGCCCUUCCCCCUUAUCCUCUAGUGUUAAUUCAUUUGGAAAAUAAUUUUGAUACAUUAGAGUCCCUUCAACAGUAACAAUCUUAGGAACUAAAAGCUUUGCUCCCUAUGCAUGUGGAAGUUACAUCAUUAAAAGACCUCCCUUAUUCUUCAGGCUUCAAUACUCUUAAUCUUUAGUUGCACUAUUUAAAAUAUGCAAGCUUGUUGAACUAAAUAUGUUUGUGUUGCACUCUUUAGGUGUUAAUGUCCUCUGAGAUGAUCAGGGACGGAGCCAGACUUUUGAGUCUAGAGGGCCCAAAUAAUAUGUAUAAAUACUUUAAUUUAUGAGAAAAGUGCAAACUUAAAUUAUUUCAUAUAAAUUAAUUUAAAUUUGGUAUUAAUAAUAUCCUAAAUAAAUAUUCUUUAUUUAAUAUAUUAUGAUUUUUUUUUAGUAACAUAAUAUGAAAUAUUGAAAAAAAAUAAAUUAUAUAUUAAUAUUAUAUGAGUGCAAGGAAAAUUAAGGAAAAGAGCACAGGUGCUUUCAAAAAAAAAAACAUGGGCUCCAUACUUGAAUUUAACAAUUAAAAUUAAAAUGGAUUAUAUGGUAUUUUUGUUGCUUGUUUCAUAAAACUUUGUGUGGAUUAAACAUAAAAUAUAUAUAAUAAAACAUAUAUAAAUUUUAAAAGACAAUAAGCAGAGCCCCUGGAGGUCGUUCAGCCCCUGGAGAUAACACAACUUCUCACUAACUAAUACAAUCUCUGUUAUCAUUGCAUGGCUUUGAUCAUGGUUAAUGUCUUUUAUGUAUGGAUGCUGAUAACUACAGAAAGAUGAGCAUCUCCAAUGCUUGCAGAUUUAUUGCUGUCAAAGUAUUGCACAUUAAUCUGACUUCUGUGUGUGCAGAUGGAGCAUUACCUUCAGAUAGUUAAAACCGAAGUGAUUACCAGAAAAGAUUAUAAAUUAGUUGAGGAGUACGAGUACACAGCGCACAGCAGUGUGUCACACAGUUUACACAUUCCUGUUGCUAAGUUCCAUCUUGAACUCUCCCCUAUGCAGGUAUGCAUAUUGGAGAUUAUCAGCUUCAAUGAGUUUCUACUUUCUUUUUAAUUUCUUGUUAAUUGACUCUGUGUUGUGAGCAGGUCUUGAUAACAGAAAACCAGAAGUCUUUUUCGCAUUUUAUUACAAAUGUCUGUGCUAUUAUUGGGGGUGUUUUCACGGUAUGUAUCUCAGAUACUGUGGCUCUAUAUACUUGUAUUGUUCACUAAUUGUUUUGUUGAUUAGUCUUCCCUAUGGUUUCAGGUAGCUGGAAUUACGGAAUCCAUUUUGCACAAUACUAUUAGGCUAAUGAAAAAAGUUGAGCUGGGCAAAAAUUUUUGAUAGAUAGUUGCAGAUUUUUUCUAGGGUAGGGCUUUUGAUUAACUAUACCUACUUCAAUGAGGAGGUCUUUCGGCAGAUUUUUAUCUAUAGAUACACUAUAUAUAAAGCAUAAAAAUGUAGUGUUUUUCUUUUCUGACAAGAAAGUGUUUUUCUUUUCAUUCGGUUUAAUGAUUAUGAAAUGGAUUGCGAGCACCACUAAAUUUUUGUUCUUGGUAGCAUUUUGGUAAAUAGAGUAAUUAAGAGCUUAUACAAUAAUCACAUUUUAUGUGACAUUUUAUAUCAUAAAUACUUACAUUCAAUAAUAGGCUGUUGGUGUUUGGAUAUACACGUUGAAAAUCAACUUCUUUUUUGCGUGUGAAAAUAGAUUUUGGGUGUAUUGGAAAAGGAAGAUUUUGGGUGUAUUGGAAAAGGAAAAACUUUAUAUAAGUUAUCAUAAGAAGUUUACCAUAACUUAAAAAACAAUUUAUAGGUAUAACUUAUAAGCUAUAUUUAAAAGAAUGAUAUAGUAUAAAUUAAUUAGUCAUAUUUUGAUAGAUAAACAUUUACUUUAAAAAUUUAAUUUGUAUCUAUGGUCAGUUAUAUCAGCUGUGGUUUUUUUCUGACUUGAUUAUUACUUUUCUACUGCUUUUAGCAUAACCAUUUUUUUAAAAACUAUGAUAAAGAAGGAAAAUAAACAAAUAACAUCUGGCAUAUUCACCCACUCUACCAUUCCUGCAUAAAAUGGCUUUAUUUAUUUCAUGUUCAACUUAUUGAGUAUUCUUACACCAUCAGGUAAGAAGCACACAAAAGGGUACAUAACUAUAUAUUCCCAGCUUAUUUCUCAGUUGUCACAACCAAAUAUCAGACAGUGCCUCAACUUUAGACCAAAGUCCCAACUCAAUAGUAUAGAAAUCCAUGAGAAGUAAAAAACUAAAAAGAAUUUAAAGAAAAAAUAUAUAUAAAUUAUACUCAACCACUCAUACUUUUUACUUGGAAACAACCAGAGCUGAAACCAUGAGUGCUCCAACAGAACCAACAAAGCUGACCAAGAUUGAAGAAGCAGCAUUAGGAGGAGGAGGUUCUGUAACAGGAGCUGGAGUUGGAGUUGGAUUUGUUACCUCAGUCACUGGUGGUGGAGAUGAACCCUCUAUCUGAGGAGGUGGUGGGGAUGAACCUUCUAGCUGAGAAGGUGGUAGUGAAGGAGCUAAUGCAUCUGAUGAAUGUGAAGAUAAAGGAGAAGGAGAAGGAGAAACAAAAACAGAAACAGAAGGAGAAGGAGAAGGAGAAGGUGAAGUUGUUGUUUGGUUGGUGUUUGAGUUUCUGUUGGUUCUGUCAGAAAGCACAAUCACCAAUAGCUUCUCAUUCUUGAGACAGCUAUUUUUGUUUCCACUAAUGAAGAAAUGAGGCCCUGAUUGACUGAGUUUUAUUACUGUGUGGCCAUCAGAGAAUUUAUCAGAAGAUGCAUCAGUGUUGCAACUAUCAUAGUCUUGUUGGCUAUUUACUUGAAUUACUGAGUCUUGACCUGAAUGGUAAUUGAACACUGCAAUCGGCAUAUGUGUAAAUUGAAAUAUUAGUGCACAAUUCUUUUAUAUCAACAAAUGAUUUUUUUUUUCUUUUCAUGAAUGAUUGUAUCAUUUUAUUUACUAAAGAUAGUAGUAACACCACUAUAUAUGGUUCUAACAAAUAAUUAAACUAUAUAAAUUCAAGUAAAACUAAUAGUUUUAAAACUAGUUAAAAAUGUUCCAUUUUUCCCCUGCCUUUGAUAAAAACAAUGAAAUAAAAUGUAGGAUAACUCACCUAGGGAGUCUCCUACUUGAAAUCUGCUCUUUUCUGCCCAUUGAUUAUAAGGGUUGCCAUUAGGGUCACUUGGAACACUCCAUCCCUUUUGUCCUCCAACUACAAAUUCAUAGGCAUCACCUUUGUGCAUCAACACCAAGAGACAUAACAAGACAAAAGCAUGAACUACUUCAUUAGACCUUAAAAUAAUACUAGCCAUUGGAAAAGGAUCAAUGAGGAAAGGACUAUUGCAACCAAAAUGCUGGAAAUGUUAGAAGAUAGAGUGAUGCAAUAAGUUGGACCAUCAUUAGGGGUUUUUGUAGGUAUCAGAUGCAUGCAAACUUUACAAACUGUGGCAGUGAAGCUUUUGAAACUUUUUGUUAUUCUCUCAUAUAUUUGGUUUACUUUGAUUCUGGUGCAAAGCAUAAGCUGUCUUUCAUUGUUAAGAGUUUGAGUCUAUUUGAAUCUUUCACUUUUAUAUAAAAGGGUUUGGUGCAUAAGUUUUAUGCUUUGCUUACAGAAAUCUUUUUUCAAAAAAUAUAAUAUAAUGUAAUAUAAAUUAGAGCUUAGAUUAUCUCAUCAAUAAUUUCAAUUUCAAAAUAUGUUACUAGCUAAGAUCAACAUGACCUUCUACUAAUAAAAGAUAUAUCAUAGCUAGGAAGACUGCAGUGUUAGAGAUGCUUUUGCAGCUUAUAUACUCAAAGACUCUGCAACAAAAUUUAGAAAAAUAGUUGGAGUAAUAAUUUUGUCACAAAUGUGUGAUAGUGGUAUAUAUUUACUUCUAUAAUUAUUGAUAUUAAAAAAAAUUAUAUAUCUCAAUAAUAAAUUAAAUAGCGACAUUUCUAUAAAAAAAAUAAUUAAUCCACGUGGAAUUUUGAAAAUAGUUUUAUAGUAAGGGAAGAAAGUGAAAAAAUACCUUAUAAUUAGGAAUGAAAUGAGUAAUAGGAAUAUAACCUAUGAUUUGGAUUUGGUAUAGGAACCAAGCUACACAAAUUUUAAUGUCAAGCGUCCUAUAUCAAAUUAAUGGUCGGAAUCAUUUUUAAAAUGAUUGUUAUUGUGUAAAUCUGAAUUACCAAUAUCUCAUAAACAACUAAGAUUAAGCGUUCAUAUAAUUUGAUGUCUAUAUUAAAAUUUGUGUGGAUCCCAUACAAAAUAUUUGUCGCCCCCCUAUUUCUCUUGUCAAUCAAAUAGACUCAUUUAUCCUCUUUUCAAUUUCUCUCUUCAACAUUUCUUGCAUACCCAAACAUUCUACAAUAGUCUGUUUUUGUGACUUAGCUAUGUAGGUGGUAGAUUGACACUGCUGCAAUAUAUUUUCUAUGGUUUGUUGGCGGAAGACAAAAUAUAGACUUCAUAUUUUGUAUCAAUUCAGUAUUUAAUAAACUAAUAAAAUAUAAUAAGUUAAUAAUAAAUAUUUUCGUAUUUUGUAUCUUUAAUUAUAAAUUUUAUUUCAAAUAUAAGUAGAGUUUAAAAUCAGUAAGAUAUGAUAAUAACAACCAUUUACUUUUUUACUCUUAUAUAAUAUAUAAAAUUUAGAAAAUAAAAGAAUUUGAUAUUAAAUUUUUAAAAAAAUAUUAAUAAUUGAUUUUAAAAAAUAUAUGUAUGAUUUUAUCACAAGGGUAGUUUUUCAUUUUAUAUAAUUUAGUAAAUUAAUAUUUAAAUUUUUAAAAUUAAAAAAAAAUUAAAUAAAUAUAAUUUUUUUACCAAGGUAGUUUUUUCAAUUACAUAGUAUAUAUAAUUUACAUCCACUUCUUUUUAUAAAGGUGUAAAUUAACAACCUACACCUUUUCAUUUUGACAACAAAAAAUAAAUCAAUUCUUGAAGGAUAGUUUUGUAAGUUUAAUUUUGUUUAUUAAUGUUUAAAAGAGGCUAAGGUUGUUAAUCUACAUCUAGGUGCAAAUUAACAACACACACAUAUUUUUAUUUGAACAAAGAAAAUCUUAUUUACUAUUUUAAAUAAGUAAAAUUAAAGGAUAAUUUUUUAUAAAUUUUAUUUUACAUGAUAAGAAAAGAAACUAAAUUAAAAGAUAUAUAAAUUACAUUUUUACCUCUCGUUGAUAUAAUUUUCUAAACAGAUAGUUGGAUUUUUUUGUCUAAAAUAAAAAAGAGCAUAUUGCUAUUUUACGUCGACUAAAAAAUAAGUUCGCAUAAAUUAGCAAAAUAUAUAUCAUUUGUUUGUUUAACUUAUUUAAUAAAUGAAAUAGAAUUAUUUUAUUAUUUAUAAUUCUUUUUUAAAUUUUAAAUUAUUUAUUUAAUAUUAUCUGAUGAAUUUAAGAAAAAAGUAUUUUAUUACUUUUUUAACUCUUUUAUUAUAUUUUAUUAAUUUAUAAUAUUUAAAUAUGUAAUGAUAAUUUGCAUCACACUGCUUAUAAAUUGUGUUAUUAAUGAUAAAAUUGAGAAUUUUAGGGAAUUUAAAAUGGUAAGAAAUUCAAUAGCUUCAAUUAAACUUAUUCACUUUUUUUGUCUAGAUUGGCAAGUUCAAAAAUAAUUAGAGUUGCAUAAUAUAUUUUGUCUUCUCAAACUAACUAAUAAAAAUGCAGGUUAUGAUAAUUGCUUCAAUGGUUAACCAUUUUAAAGAAAAAUAGGGAAAAGAAAAAGUAUUUUAGUUAAAAUGAUACUACUAAUCAAUUUAUUCCGUUUUUAAGAGAAUUUGAAAUAUAUUCUGUGAUUUGUGGUACUUCAUCUUAUAAGUCAUCCUAAAGAAAGAUGGGCCUGUUCUUUUUUAAAGCAUGUUUAAUAUAUACCGUGUUUGAUUUAAAUAGGGAGAGAAGAAUGAAGAAACAUGAAAAGAUUUUUAAUUAAAUAAUAGCUUAAUAAUUAAUGUCUUGCACGAGAUUUAUAUAUUUCUAUAUGUUUAUUUUAUUAGAAAAUUAUAUAUAUAUAUAUAUAUAUAUAUAUAAAAAUUAAAAUAUUUUUAUGUCUAGAAUUUCAGUGUAUUUAAUAUUGAUUCUUACAAAGGAGGGCAGAAGGCCCAAAGAACAAAAAAAAAAAAUUAAGGAAUUAAUGUACAUUUUUAAGUAUACAAACUCUGUAAAAUAUUAUUAAAUCAGAGUUGCAUAAACUCGCUAGGAGGGAACUUCAAAACAACAAUGUUCUAAGAAAUAAAUAAGUUAAGGUUAAACCUAAUUAGCAAGGGCAUCUAUUGCUUUUGCGUCAAGUGUGAGUAAAUUGAAUGUGUUAAUUUUCUAAAGAAAUGUUUGGAUAUGUCGAAUCACAUGAGGGGCAUGCCCUUUGAAAUUACAAUUGAUUGUGAUCAUCUUAAUAAACACCUUGAGUUGUUUUCCACAUUCAGGUGAGAUGAACCCUCUUCAUGAUAAGUCUCAGAUACAUACUCUACAAUUCAGCAUGCAAGAUAUGAUCACAAGCUUCCAUCUUUUGUCUAAAACCCUAAUCCAUUUAUCAUCUGAUCUAAGUUAUAAAGAAAACCGCUGACACGUCCGUGUCUCUCUCUUUUUUUUUAAAAUAAUAAUAAUAAUAAUAAUAAUAAUAAUAAUAAUAAUAAUUAAUUAAUUAAUAAUAAAAUAAAACAAACCCAACUCCACUCACUUUUCCCCCACUUUCUUGCCAUCCCACUUUUCCCUCUUCUUCUCUCCCGGCAACCCCACUCCCACUCCCCCAUUUUCAUUUUUGUUUCUUUUCUUUUCUUCUUCUUUCUCUCACUUAAAGCCACAAUAAACUCAUGGAAAGGAUAUACAUUCCCUAAGCAAGCUUCUUCAUAUUUUCCCACACUACGCCAAAAAUGACAUUUUAUAGCGCGUCUUUUAUAACGCUUAUUAAAUACAAGCGUUGUUGUAUGAUAUUUUAAAAAUAAUGGAGGAUACAACAGCGCUUUUUUGACAAGCGCUGUAAAAGACUUUGAUUUCACAUAAUUAAAGGACCUAUUAGAGCGCUUUUCGGAAAAACGUUGUAAAAAGGUUUUUUAAAAAAAAUAAGGAGGUCUUUUACAGCGCUUUUGGACAAGCGCUUUAAAAAGUCUGGAAAAAAACGCUGUUAUAGACUUUCAAAAAAUAAAAUAAGGAGGUCUUUUACAGCGCUCUUUAAAAAAGCGUUGUAAUAGGCUUUUAAAAAAUAAAAUAAGGAGGUCUUUUAUAGCGCUUUUUUAAAAAGCGUUGUAAUAGGCUUUUAAAAGUAAAAUAAGGAGGUCUUUUACAGCGCUCUUUAAAAAAAACGAUGUAAUAAGCUUUUAAAAAAUAAAAUAAGAAGGUCUUUUACAGCGCUCUUUAAAAAAAGCGCUGUAAUAAACUUUUAAAAAAUAAAAUAAAGAGGUCUUUUACAGCGCUCUUUAAAAAAGCGUUGUAAUAGGCUUUUAAAAGUAAAAUAAGGAGGUCUUUUAUAGCGCUUUUUUAAAAAGCGCUGUAAUAAGCUUUUAAAAGUAAAAUAAGGAGGUCUUUUAUAGCGCUUUUUUAAAAAGCGCUGUAAUAAGCUUUUAAAAGUAAAAUAAGGAGGUCUUUUAUAGCGCUUUUUUAAAAAGCGCUGUAAUAAGCUUUUAAAAGUAAAAUAAGGAGGUCUUUUAUAGCGCUUUUUUAAAAAGCGCUGUAAUAAGCUUUUAAAAAAUAAAAUAUAACAGUAAAUCGCUUCAGUUUCCUCUUUAUUACAUAAACUUCAUUACACUUCAGUGUCCUUCUCCUCCUCAUUAUCCUUCUCAUUGCGAACCAUAAUGUCCCUACGAACCAUAUUGUUUAUGAACUCUACGUAUUUCUUCGCACUCUUCAGGUAUUGUAUUCAUUUAUUCAUUUAUUUCUUAUAUAUAUAUAUAAUGUGUCUGUUAAUGCUAAUAAUCACAUUUAUUUGAUAGUGUUUUACAAGUUUUCCGAGCUCAAAUGGGUGCUACAGUGUCGAAGCAAAAAUCAAAUAAAUCACAUGGAUUCCAAUAAAGGUUUGAAAUGUAUGGCUUUAAAAUUUCAUUAACAAUCAAUCCACAAAUAUUUAUUGACUUAUAUGUUUUAUUUUAUAGUGCUAUCGUCAAACUAACAACAUAGACUGCGGAUACUGUAUAUUACGAUUUAUGAAGGAGAUUGUUGUUAUAAUCCCAAAAAUAGAUCUAAUUGAAAUAAAGGAAUGCAUAUUACAGCGCUUUUUUUAAAAAGCGCCGUAAAACUAAUACAACAAGCAGCGCGUUUUUAGAAGAGAUUUACAACGCUUUUUUUUUUUUUAAUUUUAAAGAGCGCUGUUGUAUCUUUUUACAACGCUGGAUACUACAGCGCUUAAUUUUUUGAAAAAGCGCUAUAAAUGGCUUAAAAAAAACGUUGUAAAAUACCAUUUUUCGCGUAGUGCCAAGUUCUUGGGUAUAAUUUUUGAGUUAGGGUUUGUCCUCUAAAGAAUGAGAAGAAUACCCAUCUCUUGAGAGUUGUUUAUUGAGACUCAAUGAGGUAAAUGCAUAACUCCAAUGCUAGUAUGAAUAUAUAGAAAAAUGUAGUUUUGAGUAAAAACCUUAUUUUAUGCUUAGAGUAGAUUUAAAUGAUUUUUUAGGGUUUCCUAGAGUUAGUUAAACUUUAGAAUAAUUUUUCUAAAGUCUUGGAAAUAUUUUUUAUACUCAGAUUUGUUAGCUGAGAUCCUACCGGCUACUCUGAGAGUUGUUGGAGAGCAAAUUUAGACGAUUCUACAUAGAAGUGAGUUGACGACGACCAUCGUCAUAUAUUUUUUAUAUAAUGCUAUUAUUAUUAUUAUUAUUAUUCUUAUUAUUAUUAUUAUUAUUAUUAUUAUUAUUAUUAUUAUUAUUAUUAUUAUUAUUAUUAUUAUUAUUAUUAUUAUUUUACUUGUUUUCUAUAUUAAAGUAUUUAUUGAAAAAUUUGGGAAACACAACAUUUGAAAUUUAUCUCGAUUUUGUCAAUUAUUUAAUUUAAUGGUCGUUGUUAUAUAAUAUGAUAUUAGUUUGAUUUACGUAUAAGUUAAAGUAUUUAAAUAUUAAAUUGUUAGGCGAUUGAAUAUAUUUUCCAUGAAUUACGAUGAAGUGAUUUUAAAUACGUGUUUUGAGAAAUCGUUGUUAUAAUUAUUAAAUCGUUAAUUGCGUUAGGUGCACCUAGUUACCUCGUUUUGAUUAGGGAGAGUUACCCAUUAGAUGGAGCCGCCUCUAUGAGAAAUGUCAUCUGUAGGAGGAGAGAGUUAUCAACGAGAUGUAACUUCCCUAAUUGAUACGUGAUUAUGCGUUGCGGGAUUGAGAUGAGAGAACUAUCCGUUAGAUGGAGCCACCCCUAAGGGAAAUGUCACUCUUAGGAGGAAAGGGCUAUCAAUAAGAUGAAGCCGCCUCUUGGUUCUAAAAAAAUUGUAUUUUUACUUAUUUGAUUUUUAUGAUGAUUUUAAUGUUGUUCAUUUGGAUUUCGCUUCGUUAUUAACUGAAUUCUUAAAAUUUAUAUCUGAACGGUUAAGUUAUAAGUUUAACGACUUGAUAUGUGUAUAUUUUAAAUUUAGAAUUUUUUAGAUUUUUAAGUAAUAUUGUUUAACAUAACGGCCGCCCAAUUGUAAAGCAGUUAUUCGUGCCUUUUUGUAUUUCCCUUCUAAUUGAUGGUGAUUGUUGGUUCCUCACUAAGUCUUUGUGACUUACCCCUUUAUGUUGCUUAUUUUUUUCAGAUUCGCAGACAAUUGAGUAGAAAUCUAUUAUUUGAUUCAAGUCUCGACUAUAUUUCUUUUUGGUAGGCCUAUUUGAUCGAGGACUAUUUUUUUGUAAAAUAUGUCGAGUCUAAUGUAAUUUGCAGCUAUUUUGGAGUCUAGAAUUUUUUUUUUGAAGUGUAUUAAACAAUUAGAUUAUGUUCUUUGAAUUGUAACUGAAUUGAAAAUUUAACAGGGAUUUUAUAAAUUUGGGAAUGUUGAAGUCACAGGGGAUACUCUGUCGAAAUUUCGGGAAAAAGUAUAUAUAUUUUUUGAAAUGGUUAGAGAACGAUUUAGUUGUUUAAUUGUUAAUGGUUAGAGUAUGGUUAGAUUAUGUUAUUUGAUAGGCUUGUCAGGCUGAGAGUAUAGCUUGUGCUCCGGUCACGACAUUUAAAUUUCAGGUCGUGACAACCGCAAUAUCUUAUAAUGUCACCAUACUCCUUACAUGCCCUAUCACAAUUAAAUUUCAUAUUAAAUGAUAUACUAUUAGGGUUUAUUUAAAUAAUUUUAAAACACAUUAUAUUAGUAUAAUAAAUUUAAAAUAUUUGAAAUGAACUAAAUAUUUAUGAAUAAAAUUUCAAUGUAUUUUAUAUAUACUUUCAAAUCAUGUAUUUUUAAAUUAAUUUUUUUUAAUAAAUUAUUUGCUCCUCUAUAAAGCCAUAGCUGUCAAAAAUCAAUAUUGAAUAUCAAUUUGGUUGGAUAAUCCUAAAAAAAAAUAUUAGUUAUGACAUGACAUUUGAUUAAGAAAUGUUUAUUAAUAUAUGUAAGGCAACAACUUUAAUAAACUCCCUAUCUUGCCAUAUCUUACCUUAAUUAGCUAACAUGACAACAACAGCAUUAACUAUCUCUAAGGAACAGCCCAUAAAAAAAAAAUAGAGUUAUGACAUGUCAUUUUAUUAAGAAAGUUUAAUUAAUAUAUGAAAGUUAGACAAGAUUAACGUAUUAAAAUUAAUCUAUUAUAAUAGUUAAAUAACAAUAACAUAUUAAAAUUAAUAUUAUGAAAAACAACAAUUAACAAAUAUUAAUUAUUUUAAAAACAUGUGAAAUUAAAAAAAAAAAAGAUUUUAUUAAAGUAACAAGUAUUAUUAAAAAAAUCAACAAAAAAUAGAUCAAUACAACAUCUAUCACUAAUAAUAAAAUUGACUAAGUUACAUCCGCGGUCCCUUAACUUAAUUUCAAGUAACGUUUUAGUUAUUUAUCUUUUUUUUUCUUCUCGAGUUGGUCAUUUAUGUUAACUUUAAGUGACAAUUUGAUAUUUUAUGUUUUAAAAUUUCAACAAUGUUAUCUUUUUUUAUACAAAAAUUCAAAAAAAUUAUCAAAAUUUUCAACCAAAAUCCAUAAAAUUAAUAAUCAUCUUCAAUAUAAUGCACAUUUUUUAUCAAAUCCAUAACUCAAAUAUUCAAAUACACUCAUAUUUUCAUCUCCAACAACAUCAAAUAAAGAAUGAAAAAAUGAGUUUAUUCCAAGAUUUAAGUUAUGAAUUUGAUUAAAUUUGUAUUUUAUUGAAGAUGAUAAUGAAUUUUAUGGGUUUUGUUUUAAAAUUUUGAUGAUUUUUUUGAAUUUUUGUAAAAAAAAGGACAACAUUGUUGACAUUUUAAAACAUAAAAUAUCAAAUUGUUACUUAAAAUUAAAAUAAAGGACCAACUCGAGAAAAAAAUAUAAAAGACUAAAAUGUUACCUGAAAUUAAGUUAAAGAACGUAAUUUAACCUAAUAAAAUUAUAUUAUUAUUAUUAUUAGAAAAAUAUGUAUGUAGUUGGACCCGAUUUAGUUGAAAACAAAAUAUUCAAAAUUCCAUCCACAUAAUUUUCACAAAAGAAAAAAACAUUCAAUAAGAAUCAUGUGGUUGAAUUUUUUUUUGAUUUGAUUUAUAAUUUUUAUUUAAAUCAAUUUAAAUAUAGACACCGCUGAAUUGCUCUCAACCUAUUCUACCUACUUGUUUUCAACAUGAACCCUACAAUCUACUUCUUUCAAGUAUGACAUAAUAUGACACCCACCACUAGCCGCAUUGGGAGGGUCGAGAUUAAUUCACAUGCGAUAUCUAAGUCAUUGGUUAACUCAUACCCCCUACCAGAUAGUAAGGUGACAUUUUUAUAAAAAAAACAUAAUUUUUAUUUAAUAAAAAGAUUUUUUAUUUUAAUACUUUUAAAAUUAAAAAUAUAUUUUUUUUAAAAUUUAAUAUUAUCUCAACACUAUUAAAUUAGUUAAAAAAAAUAUAUUAUAUGAUAUCAAUUAUAUUUAUUUUAAUGAUGUCAAGUUAAAAUUUAGAAAAUUCGUUUUAGAUCUCAUAUUAAAAUUCGCUUGAAAUCUCGUAUUAAAAUUAGCUUCAGACAUUCACAUGUGUUGGAUCAGUUCUAUUAACUGAUUAAUACUAAUUUGUUAAAUUUAUGUCUUGCUUUAGGCUUUAAUUUAGAAUUUCAUAAUUGUAUGUGAAUUUAUAAUAAUAUUUACUAUCUAUUUUACAUACAUAAAAUAACAUAAAAAGAUGGGAAGACCAAAUGAGGGAUAAGGGCAAGUUUUGGAUGAAUUUUGUAAGGUAUUGGUGGGAAUUAGUUGAUGAGAAAACUUAUUUGAUAAUCUAACUUUAAAACAAUUUUUUAUUAGAUAAUUAAAAAUAUUGAAAAAAUGAGAAGUAAAACAACAUUUACUUGUUUUGCUUUUCUAAUUUAAUAAAGUAUAAUAUUAAAAAUAGUUUUACAAAAUAAUUUUUAAAAACAAGUAAUCCAAAUAAAAUUUUUAGUUUUUAAAUUUAAAAAUAAAAUAAAAUAGAGUUUUUAGGACUAGAAUGAAACCCUUAAUCUUUAUAUUUUGUUUGGUUGAUAGAGUAAAGAUGGAGAAAAUGAAAAGAAGAUAAAAAAUAUAAAAAAUAAAAUGACUAUUUAUUAGUUUGGUAUAAGAGAAAAUAAAAAGAAAAAUUAUAUGAAAUAACUAUGUGAGUUUAUAAAAUGACAAAUAUACAUAAGGAAAAAUUAGAUAUGAUAACAAAAUACAAAUAAAUUAAAAUUACCAUAAAUAAAAAAUUAUAAAAUAUAAAAAAUAAAUAAAGAGAAUAUAUAUAUAUAUAUAUAUAUAUAUAUAUUUCAUAACAAUUAAAGAAAAUGUUUCAAUUUAAUAAACUAUAAAUAUUAUACUCCAUUCAAAAUCAAAUAUAAAAAAAAUGAUAGCUAAAAAAUUGAUGUAUCUAAUUAAAAAUUUAGUUCGAAUAUAUCAAUUUUUUAAUAAUUCUUUAUAUAUAUAUAUAUAUAUAUAUUUCAUUUUAGAAUAUUACUUUUAUUCUAUUUGUAAUUUCUAAUUUUUCACUAAUUGAAAUGAAAUACUUAUUUUUAUUUUUCUAAUCAUAUCUAUAUUUUGUUUAAAAUAGUUAUAUCAUUUUAUAAAUAAACAUAUAUAUUUUUUAUUUUCAUUUAGAGUUUAAAUUUAUAUACUAAAAAUACAAAAUAUUUUAGAUUAUCAUUAUAUAAAAAUUGAUAUUUUUGACACGUAAACUUAAAAUAUUUUAAUUGAAUAAAAAAAUAAAAAAAACCUACCCUAGAUGGGCAAUAACUCAAUAUUAACCAUUAUCAUCGUUGUCUCACACUUAUGCUCUUGAAUCUCUCCUACCACACCCUACCUUUCCCUUUCUGUCUUUGUUGUUUAUCAUAUUGCGUCAAAAAUUAUUUUAUUGUGCAACAAAUUUUAAAACAAAUGCAAAUAGUUUAUCAUAAUGGUCAUGUUAUAUCUCCCAAAUUAAUUUGCAAAAAUCCCUAUUUGUUUUUUAAAGAAUCAUUUAAUUUUUGUCUAAAAACAAAUCAUCCAACUUUUGAUGUGCUUUUCAUUAAAUAAAAACCAUUAUUGUUUAUAGUUUUUUAAUUUUAAUUCCAUGGAAGUAUAUUAAGAUGGUGUAAAAAAAUGGAUUAUUGUAAUUUGAUCUUGUAAAUGCAUAUAAAUUAAAUUGUUUCUUUAAUUUUUUCUAAAAUUUUAAACUCUUUUUCUAUAUUAAACUAUUAAAUUUUAAACUCUUUUUCUAAACUAUUAAACUCUUUGUCUCUUUAUUUAAUUUUCUCAAAAACAAAAUAUUACUUUAUAUUUUCAUAGUUUAAAUCGAAUCUCAUACUUUUUCUCGAAGUCUAAAACAUUUCUUCAAUCAAAAAAUUUUAAAAAAUUUGUAUGUAUCUUCUUUACAAAUUAAGAUUAUUUCACAAUAAAUAUCUUUAAAUAAAUAAAAAAUUAAUUUUCAAACAAAAUUUAAUGUUCAGAUCUUUACCUAAUCUUGAAAUCUUAAUGCUUUAAUAAUUAUCGAAUAUACUAUUUUAUGAUUAUUUUAAUAAAAAUAUAACAAUGAAAAUUAUUAUAUUAUUUAUAUUUAGUUAAAUAAAUACACAUUGACAACUUAUUUUCACCUUUAUCCAUCCAACAAAAUCAUAUUUAAUGGUUAAUUAAUAUAUUGGAGUUGGUCAGACGUUCUCGAAAAUUAAUAUUCAAAUAAUGUUGAAGGAAGAAUUUAUAUUUAAUAUUGACAUAUCUUGAAUAUAAUUACUUAAAUGAAACUAAUAACUAAAUAUUAUUAUGGAAAAAAAAAUUAUUUUUAACUAAUAACUAAAUAUUGAGUCAAAGAAACUAAUAAUAAUUAAAUGUUAAAAAAUAUGUUUUUCAGUUUUCCCUUUAUGGUUGUUCAGUGCAUAGGUUUAUGAAGCUGGGACCCAUUCUCUUGAGUUGACAAGUUUUUGUUUCUGGGUCUGCUUCAUCUUUUCAAAGGGCUCAUUUUUCUUGGUACCUUCUUCAUACCAAAAAUCCUUCCUUUUUCAUUCCUUAGUGUUUUUUUUUUUGUCUUUUCUUCCUGUAAGCUCUUUCAGUUGCUUGAGAUGUGGAGAGAUCAAGGAGUUUCAGCUGAUUCUUUCUAUGAAAUUCGACCUGAUUGCACCGAUGUUCCCAUUACUCGAUUUAAGAUCAAGGUUUAUUUUUUUACUCCCAGAUUUUUUUUUUGAAGUAAUGUGUAUCUUUAGUUAUAGGUGAAUAGGAAUAGUAUUGGAUUGAUGGAAAUUGUUGAAUUUUUAUGAGCAAUGUAUGUAAUUUAAUUUAAAUAUGAAGUUUUGUGAAUGCAUUUGUUCAUUUGAAAAUGUCAAAGUUUUUCUUUUUUUAAUUUUUUUAAAUGUUUAUGCUGAUAACUGAUAGUAACUUUUGUUUAUUUUGAGGGAUAGCUUGUGAUUUCAGAUAAUUGAUACAUGAGGGUGAAUUUGUUAUAUAUCUUUUGGGAUAGUGCCCCUCUUUUUCUUGUUAUGAAUUUCAAAUUCAGUAAUAUUGAGUAUAAAUGUUAAUGGAUGAAAUUUGAUUCAUGGACAGUAAUUUAUUGUACAAAGAUAUUAUAUCAUAGAUUCAAAGUUGAAUUUAGAUCUUAUAACGAUAUGAAUGUGUCUAUUGUUGUGGAGAGAAUCCUGAUUCUUAUGCUAGUUGCAUGAAUUACUGGCACUUAGGAGUUAAAUCAUCAAAUUUAACACUUCUAUUUAGCAGUUUUGGUAUUAAAGAAUGCAGCAUACGGUCUGGUUAUUAAUUGGUUGAUUGCUUAAUUAGAUAAAGUUAGAUCUUUCAGAAUUAGAUCUGAAUAUACUAUUGGUAAUUUACCUUGGAUUACAAUAACAAAUCCCAAAUGAUUAACUGUCCUUGUUGGGUUUUCAUCUUAUGAAUCAUUAAAUGACAUAAUUCAAUUCGACGAUUUUACACCGUAACACAAAAUCAGUUCCAUUCAGAUGACAACUUGUACAUUUAUUUGGAUUUUCAAUCUCAUUAUGUUCUUUAUUUUUAACUUCUUGUUAUUACAUGGCUCAGGCUGGUAAAACACUAAGUCCAAGAAAAUGGCAUGCUGCAUUUACUCCAGAAGGGUAUCUGGAUAUAGGCAAGACUCUGAGACGAAUCUACCGAGGGGUAUUUGCUCUUAUAUAGUUAAAAUACUAGUUCAUUAUGUUUGAGGAAAUAAGGAAAUGAUAUGUUGAUAUUUAGUGUGUCUCCCUUUUUUAUGUGUUCAAUAGUGAAUCCUAACCUUGUGCAGUGUUGUCAAAUAGCUGCAAUAGUGCUAUAGUGUAGUGGAAUUUGAAAAAAUCACUGUUGUUCCGUGAUACACGAUUUAGUACAAAGUGUUUUUAAAUAGUGGCACUAUAGCACUAUAGCGUAGCAGAACUUGAGCAAACUGCUAUUUUAUGAGAUCCACAAUUGACAACACUAGCUUGGUGGAUAAACCUGUCUGAUCUCUAGCUAUGCAAGUGCUACGAUGAUCAUAUUGUUGGUUUUCAUACACCUGAAUUAUUGAGGAUUAUGUUUUUUUUUUUUUUUUUUUGUGUACAAGUGUAGAAAGACAAUAAAUUUUCUGUAUAUGUGGCUUUCGGUUGGUGCUUAAUUUAUUAAAAAUUUCAAACUAGGGAAUCCAUCCAUCAAUAAGGGGAGAAGUUUGGGAAUUUCUACUUGGUUGCUACGAUCCCAAGAGUACAUUUGAGGAAAGAGAUCGGAUAAGACAACGCCGAAGGUAAUCAGUUUUGAGUUUCAUAAUUGUUUCAUAAGAAUCUUCUUUUUUUCAUCUGUAUUGUUGUCAUAUAUUAUAACAUGUGUAGCAUUGACACUUCAUAUUGAAAGUGUGUUCAGUGUCUAACAUCGCACAUGUAGUUACAUACAUUCAAUUUAUUCUAUUGUUCAAAUUAUUAUCGGUGUCAAAGUGUCCUUGUCAAUGUUGUGUAUAGUGUUCAUGUUUGUGUCAAUGCUUCAUAGAUCAUAACAUCCUAGAGCGUUUUAUAAUUUUUAUGGUGUUGCACUUGUCUUUUGCAUAGGCCUUCCUUUUAAAUAAAACAGCAAUGUAUAUAAUAUGACAAUAUGUAAUCACAGGCUCGAUAUGCCUAAAAAAAUAGCAAGAACUGCAUCCGCAUCCUUUAUAUAAGGAUAAUACAUAAUACUGUGCAACUUAUUACCGCUGUUUCUGAGUUCUAUAUCUAAGAGAUCAUUACUUGAAUUUCACUUUUUACGAUUAUGUCAUCAGGCUGCAAUAUGCUACAUGGAAAGAAGAAUGUUGCCAAUUGUUUCCUCUUGUCGGAAGUGGUAGAUUUAUCACAUCACCUGUAAUUACUGAAGAUGGCGAGCCAAUUCAAGAUCCAAUGAUUCUGCCACAAACAAAUCCAGAAAAGGGAUUGGCUGCACUUCCUCAAGAUAACAAUAAUAAUAUGUCUUCAAGUAUAGAUUCUGCAAAUAAUUUAGAAAACAUGACAGACAAGAAAGUAAUCCAGUGGAUGUUAACUCUCCAUCAAAUAGGUUUGUGAAUUUUUUGUUGUGCAUUGUCUAUUAUAUUUCUUCUAUUUUAAGUUAUUUAAUUUUCCGGCAUGUAUAGUCUAAGUUUUAGAGGAACCUACCUCACAAUUAUUUUCUUCGUAAAUCCAUUAUGCCUGAAAUGCAUUGUUGUACAAUUGAAAUUUGAUUUGUAAAUGACCCUUUUCUUGCUCAUAACACAUUUCAGGUCUUGAUGUGGUUCGCACUGAUAGGACAUUGGUUUUUUAUGAGAAGCAAGAAAACUUGUCGAAACUAUGGGAUAUUCUUGCUGUUUAUGCUUGGAUAGAUAAAGAAGUCGGGUAUGCUCAAGGUGUGUUUUUAGUUGACUAAUCCAUUUAAUGUUACAUUCUCUUUUUGAGAUAUACCAGUACUAUAUUUGGAGAAAUUCUGAGAAAUUUCACCAUUUAAAAUUUCUCUAAGCUUCCAGUCUUAACAAUUGACAAUUCUGAACAGGAAUGAGUGAUCUAUGCUCCCCAAUGAUAAUACUUCUUGACAAUGAAGCAGACGCAUUUUGGUGCUUUGAGCGUCUGAUGCGCAGACUUGUAAACAUCUUAUCUCUAUGCUCACUUUUAUCUUUGUUUCUUUUUGGCUUAUUGAAAAGAUGGAAAAAAAAAGUAAAGAAUUCAAGUGUUCGGUUAUGAGAUUUUCCAUCUUGCACAGGGUUUUAGAGGAUUAAGUACUGCGAUUAUGCCUUGUGGCUGAAUGAUAGAAAUUUUAUUAAUAAUAUUUAGACAUUCAUCCUUUUCUCAAUUUCUUAUUUUUUGUGUUGAAUUUUUCAAGCGAGGAAAUUUCAGAUGCACUGGUCGCUCUGUUGGGGUGGAGGCUCAACUAAGUAAUUUGGCUUCAAUUACUCAAGUAAUUGAUCCAAAACUUCAUAAACAUAUAGGUAUUAAACCGCAUAUGUGCUUUUGAAUUUAUUUAUGGUCAAAUAUGGAAUAGAAUUUUCUAACCCUAGUUGGGUGGUUUUAUGUGAUCGUUGUUUUAAUAUAUAUAAUUUAUGACCAGUUUUAUUGCCAUUGAAAGUUGUUGAAUAAAAUCCCUGUUAUGUUUAAGAAAUGGAAAGUAACAAUGUGCUGUCUUAUAAUUUUGGAGCACAGAACAUAUCGGUGGAGGCGACUAUGUGUUUGCUUUUCGGAUGCUAAUGGUUCUGUUUCGUCGAGAAUUUUCCUUUUGUGAUUCAUUGUACCUAUGGGAGGUGCGUUUAGCUUCUUUUGUUCAUUUUUUAUAUAUUCUAUUUUUUGUUUUGCCAUCCCUUGUUAUUGUUUCAGAUUGUUUACAUUAUUUUCUAUUAUAAGUUAUUGGAUCAAAUAAUUAUUGCUAUAUUUAUAGUAUCUUAAAUUAUGCGAUUGUUUUAGGUAGUUCACUUCAUGUUAAUAUGGAUUAUGUAUGCAUGGUGUGAGUGUGUGUGAUGAUUUUUUUCCCACAAAACGGUUUAUGAGAUAACUAUACCUCAAAUUUUCUGAGAAUCUUUGUAAAUUGAUGAUCGAUAAAUAAUAGUUUGAAAUUUUUAACAGAUGAUGUGGUCUCUAGAAUAUGAUCCUUACUUGUUCUUGAUGUAUGAAGAAUCUCAAUCGGCUUCUGGAAAAGCUGAGGGAUUCAAAGGAAAAGCAAAGUCGAUACAACAAUGUGGAAAAUAUGAGAGAGAAAAUCUGAAAAAUGGAGCGAAGAAUGCUGAACCUCCUCUCCCUAUGUCUGUCUUCCUUGUUGCUAGUGUGUUGAAAGAUAAAAGUACAAAACUACUCCAUGAAGCGCGAGGCUUGGAUGAUGUUGUCAAGGUUAGUCAUGUGACAUCUUUGGAUGAGUGGCAAGUUCGACAAAAUCAUGGUGACACUGUGAUUUUGUUGAAACUCCUAAGUAUAUAGUUUCUGCCAAAAUCAUGGCGGUUCAUAGUGAUUCUGCUAAUCUCAUUGCGAACCAAAUGUGCACUAAGUGUAAGUUGCACUGAAUUAUAUGUAGCAAUCAUUGAUACAAAAGAAUGAAAUAUUUUAUUUUCCUUAUUUGGUGAACUUAACUAUUAUAAAAUUCAGUGCUACUUCACUUAUUUCAUAAUGACAUUUGUGCUUAAAACAUGCCUUUUUUUUAUUUUUAAAUUGCUAUAUUCUUGUUACAAAUUUUCCUAUGCUUUUUACGUAUCCAUUAACUUGUUCCUAUGCUCCUCUGAUCUCUCUCAUACAAUUUUACUCAGAUAUUGAAUGAUACAACAGGAAAUUUAGAUGCCAAAAAGGCUUGUACUGGGGCUAUGAAGCUUCACAAAAAAUAUUGGAGAAAGGUAAUGUGUUGUUCUCUACAACUUUUCCACCCUAACAUAUUUUCAUGUCUAUAUUAUUAUUUUUACUCUAAUGUAUAGUUAUUAAACACUUGUGAUCCUCCUUUUUUAUGUCCUAAAUAUACAAGUAAAUAUAUUAAUUGCUGCAGGCCAAGAAAGCCUAGCACCAAACAUAUCCUAUGAUAUAUUUUUUUCUUCCAUUUGGGAUGAUUAAAUGAUGUGAUGCUUCUUGCAUGCUGUCCAAUGUUAUUCCUUGGGAGACAAUAAUGGAGUCCAUCAAAUUUGGAUUGUGGUUUGCUGAAUUGAGUAAAGGAUCCAAGUUUCUGACCAUUAAAUUUCCUGUUGUAUGUGAAAUUAAUUUCAUUUUUUCUUCUUCUUAUUCUUGUGUAUGAAAAUAGAAUGCUGUACAACCAUUGUACUUUGUAACAUAUUUGUAUUGUAUUACAAAAGGGGAAACACAAAUUGUUUGUUAAUAGUCUGUUAUCACCGAUUGUACUAAAGAUAGUUCCCAUAAUGUUGUUGAUGGUGAUCAACAAAGUCCUCUUUCUAUUAAUAAAAACACACUUUAAUAUUAAAUUUAAUCUAUGAUCUGAAUAGAUGUGAUGUGAUGACUAUGGUUGAAACAGAUUUAGUACUCUAAAAUAAGUAAUUCAUUUUAGAAAAUAAAAUAAGUAAUUUGAACUAUUCAUGAACGAAAACAUUGGAUGGACAUUCUAUGCACAUGCAGAACAACUCAUUGAUGUAUGUCUAUGAAUGAAUAGCCUAGUGAUUUCGAUUUUGUUAAAAAGACAACGUAGGAGUUAUAUGUAAGAGGUUUAGGGUUUAGUCUUUGUUAAUAACUUUUUCCCCUCCCCUAAUAUAUAUACUAACUACUAAUAUUUAUCUAUAAAAACAAAAUUUAUUGAUCUAUGAAUUAGAUUAUUUAUCCAUGAUUUUUCAUACACAGUUGAAAUUAUUUUUUAUAUUUGAUAUUUAUAUAAACUUUUGAAACAAAAGUAAGAAAUCUAAUAAAUCAAGGAAAAGAAAAUCCUAAGAUUGAACCUCUAGGUAGCAUUAGUCCCCUCCAUCCCAAAUUUUUUUGAAUUAAAAUCAUAUGAUCUACUAAUCUAUGAGAAGAUUUUAUUGACAGUUCGAAGAAAAAAAAAAAAAAAAAAAGAAGAAGCUAUCAACUUGAACUAAUAAUUCAUACACAAAAAGGCCAUCUAAUUUGUAAAUAUGAACUAGUUAUGUACUGAACUUUAUAAGUUCCACACAAUCUUGUAUGAGAUCAUAUAUACUGUUAUGUACUUUUACACAAACACAUGCUGCAUCACUCAUCAUCUGGUCUUAUCCAUUGUUACCAAUCUUCCCCCUUUUGUAUAGGCACACAACACCAUCUUUGAUGAGACUCAAAAUGUAGUUCCAUGUUUAGACAAAUCGAUAACAUCAACAAUGAUUCAGAAAAAGCGAUCUGUCAUGAGGAAGAAUGUCAUAAAAGCAGUGAAAAUGACUGCAAUCACACUGAUAGAAGAUUUAUGUCCUGAGCUUUGAGUAGGUCUAUGUGGAGGAAUUGAACAUUCCAUUCCAUUGAAGAACACCUUAGUAGGAAAAGCGUCGCGCACCACGUUGAAGUCUCUCAUGUGUUUCUUAUGAAAAGAAAUUACAGAUUGUUGUUUCCCCGGCACCCUUGGAUCGUUAACAUGAGUUCCAUUAGUCUCUCCAGAUAAGAAAUUUAAACCCUUCAUUCCUUGAAAGAAAAUAGUUUUGAUACCGGGAAUUCUCGUCCCGUUAAACGAAUAAACAUCUUGAAAAUCUUCGAAAGACCUUGAACAAAUCUUCAAAAGCAAAAUCUUCCCAAUUGAAAAUGGUAAUUCUAGCCGUCCAUCCUUCCUUAUGAUCAGAACUAACGUGCCAGUUAAUACUAACAGGACAAUUAUCUCCACAAGGCAACUUGUUAGGAACUUUCAUAUGUUUGAGUUUUGCCCAAGCGUGUGCUUUCAAAGUUCGAUUGACAAAAGGUACAAGAAGAGCUUCAGGCGGAAGAAGUAAAGGUGAAGCAUUAGCAUUACAUUUCCUUGUGUCAUCACAACCACAAGCACAUGUGUUACAAGGGAUAGCAGAUUCAUUGUAGAAAGCUGAGAAUGAAAUGCAGCAACGAUUCUGUUGCGGCUUUGGUUUGGUAAUGUUGCAACUUAUUUGCCAACUAGCAACAGCUGUUGAAAUUGCUUUAAGUCCACUUGGAUCAGGAAAUUGUUGUGAAUCAACCCUAAUUGGUGGUCCACAAGUGUAUUUAGGGUUAAUAACACCAUCAAUGUGCCAUUUCAUUGGUGGUGUAAGUGCUGUUCUGUUAUCAUCGGGUGGCAUUUUGAAAACUUGUAACUGAAAAAGUGAUCUAGCUCUGUUCUUAUCCAUAAUAGGUGGUAAAACAGUACCAUUCUUACAACACCAAGGUAAUUUACCAACUUUUUCAUCUUCUGCUCUUUCAACUGGAAGAUCAGAGAGAAUAGGCCUUUUUUGACAAUUUGCAACUUGUGAGAAAUCUAAGUCACCAUAGUAUUUACCUGCAGGACCAUAUAAACAUUCAGAAGGGUCUUUUAUGCGAGCGUAAGCGCCUUUUAACGAGUAUAUGAAUUCGCCUCGUUGCCAUUCCCAUGUUAAGUUCCAAUGAUCAAGGCGACCUAAUGGAUGAUUGUUGUCUAUGGUUAUUUGUGCAUAGUAGUUGGUUUGGAAGGCUUGAAGCACGUCGUAAGCUAUGGUUAGAUCCCCAUAGCGACGAGGAAGGAACUUUGUUUUCUUGUCUAUUUUGGCUUUUGCUUUUGGGUCUUUUCUGCAGCAUACAAACAUUCUUGAGCCUGCAUGAAAAUUCACAUGAUCAAUUAACAAAAUCUCAUUCUCUUAAAUAUUAUAAAACUUCAUAUUUCUAUAGACAAAAAUUGUUCCUAAUAACACAUCAAACGCAAUAUUGGACUUGGAUUAUCGCAAGCUACUCCACAAUAGUUGAAUUAAUCUAACAGCUGAAAAGAAAUGCGGGGAGGAUCCAAGCACCAUCAUAUUUAUCCAAUCAAACUUAAUUAGUUCAGUAUCAUGUUUUUUUUUUUUUGUCAAAUGUGCUCAGUAAUUUAGACAUUAGUCCCAUUUUUUAACUAUCAAAUUCAACUAAAGUAAUUUAUAUGCUCUAUUUAAAGGGAUAGGCUUAGACUGGUCUCGAGUUCUACCUCAUGAUAGAAUAAUUUAACUUCAAACUUUACUUGUCUCUCUCAACCGAUACAUUAGCUCUAAACCUAUGUUUUAAAAAUCAAAACGGACAUCAAGUCGACUACACCAUAUGAUUAUGAUUCAACUUUUUUAAAUGUCUAAACCAAGACGAAACCAUGAUUAAAUCGUUUAAAUUUUAGAUAGUAUUGGUUCAUGAUUCAACUGAUUAAACUAUCUAAGUUAUUUUUUAAAACAUUUGUUGAAAAACCUUUCUCCCAAAAUAAUAGGGUUGGAAAUUAAAAUGAGAAAUGCAUGCAUGCAUGCAUGAAGAGAUAAGAAAUAUAUUAAUAAAAUACCUUUACUACUAGGUUGGGGACAUUUAAAACCAUCAUUAACAAGUUUAAUAGUCUUAGGCAUAGGUGUAGCAUUAGCACCAAGGCCAAAUUGAGUCCCACUCAUCUGAACCCUAACAGCCAUUUGAUUAAAAUCACCCGCUGUUUCUAUCGCCGUCUUCAAGUCCGCCAUAGGGUUCCCGGAAAGUGUAGUCCCAUUCCCUACCUCCGCCGGAAAAUCCUCCGAAUCGAUCGGAACAGCGCCAUCGGCCGAGACAAGAAUCUCUCUAUGCUGAAACCCAAUAAACAUCUUCCAACCUUUCAAUUCCUCGUCUCCAACGUUCAUUAACGAUGCUUCAGCUUUAAAUGCCCAUGCUUGUUUCGACAUGUUUUUCACGUGCGGAUAUUCCUUCUCCCUUCCUGUCAAACUGUACGUUAGAAAUAUUCCAUCGCAAUUGUCGAGUUCCGUCGCAUGUGGUGGCGGCGGAGACGUUGUCGGGUCUGGAAAUGUGCUAUCUUGUCCCUGGCAUAUUAUUUCCAAACCCGACAAAACAAAUAACAACAACAAUAAGGAAGUCUUUGCUUCCUUGAAAAUUCUCAUGUCGUUACAAACAACAAUCACUAUUAUUUUUUUAUUUAUUUUCCUUUUCUUUUUUGUAUGAAAGAGAAAGAGAGAAAGAAGAGUUUUUGUGUGUUUUAUGUUUUUGUUUUAUUGGUGUGAAGAGAAAGGUGAUGAUAAGAAUAUUGCGGCCGCGGUAAGACGCCGCGGCUGGAAGGAGGGAAACUUAGAGGAGAAAGGAAGGUAAAUGUUGUGAAUUAUUUAUAUGAUGGAGAGGGAAAAUUGGAAGAGAAGGUCAAGCUGAAAGUUAUAUUUCGCUAGUUUUAGCGAUAUUUUUGGAGGGACAGGUAAAAGGUUGUCCUAUAUUUGGAAAAGGAAAGGAAUUAUUAAGGAGCUUGUGUUUGUAAGGUUGUUUCUUUGUAUUAAUAACUUUGUUAGUUGUUGAAACAAAGAAGGAACAAAAAGAAAGUUAGUAAUAAACUAUUUUCACUUUCAUGGUUAACUUAAUUGUUGAUAUGUGAACUUCCAUACUAAAUUAUGGUGGUGAUAUUUAGUUAGUUUAAACCGUUAACUAUACUCUUAUCGAGAAAUAAGGUGACAUCAAUUAAUACUUUGUUUCUUGUAAAAAAAAAAACUAAUAAUUUGUUUAUAUAAAUUAAUUAAUUAAACUAAACUUAGUAAGUUAGUUGUUUCAAUGAGGAAUAAAAUAAGGUUUCGAUUUUUUUUUUAAUAUACAAAAAACGGUUUGGUUUAUAAUAUAUCGAUCGAAAUCUUAGUGUAGUGUCUCUCCAAAUUGGUCCAUAAAGUAUUUAAAUAUACUAAAGCUCUUUGAACUAUUUAGUACUUAUGAUAAUAAUACGUUUGAGUGUCCAUCAAAAGUCCUAAACUAUGAAAAUACAUCAUCAUAAUCCAUAAUGAAUCAUAAACAAAAAUUUAGUUCUUCCAACAUUCAAAAAGCUAUUGUUAAAUGCCCUAAUUCAGUUACUGGUUUACUGGACUGAGUCAAGGUACUCCCUUUGUCAUAUUUAAUUUGUCGUUUUUUAUUGUGAUAUAUUUAAUUUUCGUUUCAAAAUUAAAUACAACAUUAACUAUUCUUUAGAAGACAAUGCCCUUGACUAUUUAUUGCACAAAAAGAAAACUUGGUAGAAUAACACAAUAAGUAGUUAAUGAUAUUCUUGUUAAAAAAGACAAAUAAUUCAAUCAAAAGAAUCAAAAUUUAUCGCUCGUCUAGGAACUUAUAAAUAACCUUAAAAUUAGCAAAACACAUAUCCGUUCACACGCGUUUUGAAUAAUUGAUAAUAUUGUUUGUGUACCAAAGUUACAUUCCAUUUCUUUUUUGUUAUCAAUGAGAACGUGUACCAUAUAACAGUUAUUUUGAAAUGUAAUGAGACUUAAUACAUUAAAUUAGGGCGAAGUGUAUCUGAAUGUAAAAGUAUUAUUUUAUUAUUAUUAUUAUUAUUAUUAUUAUUAUUAUUAUUAUUAUUAUUAUUAUUAUUAUUAUUAUUAUUAUUAUUAUUAUUAUUAUUAUUAUUAUUAUUAUUAUUUGACUUUAUUUUAGGGUUCAAAGGCAACCUAGGUCUCUCCUAUUUUCUAUUAUUUUGAUUUUCUUUUCUUUCUUUCAGCUUUUCUUCAUCAAUCAAAUAAAAUGUAAAGAAGAUAUGAACUAAGUUGUCCUGAUUUAAUUUUCUUAAAGAAUAAAAAUCAUCUUUAUUUUUUCUCGAUCAUAGACUAAAUUGAAUCUUAUUGUUUUUUUCAGAGAUUAAAAUGAUUUUUUUUAAAUUAACUAUAUUUUAAUGGUUAGUUUUUAAAAAUAGUUAAAUAAGUUUUUUUAUCUCUAUAAAUAUAUCAUAUUUUGUUUUUAAAAACAAAUAUAACACACAUAAGUUGAUGUAAAAGCCGAGACCAAAAUUAUUGACAAAAAAAAUUUGAACGACCAUUGUUUUAAAAAAAAAGUUUAGAAUAACUAAUAUAAAAUAUAAUACUAUUUAUUGUGGCUAAAAAUUAUUUAAUCCAAAAAUGAUUAAUUUUUAUGUGUAAUUAUGAUACAUAUUGGCACAUCCCCUUUGUUUCUUUUAUGUGAAUAUCCUCUUUAUCCGCAAAAAUGGAAAAGAUAAACAAAAGAGGAAAAAAUCAUAGUUGUGCAUAGAUAGAAACACAAAACGUAAGAAAAAGAAUAAUCGAGCUUUUGAUUACUUUCCCGAGUAAAUGUGAGCUUAGAUUUGGAAGAGAGACGAAACAAUUGAGCAAAAAAAAGGUAAACAAAAAAUACUUUAUUAGUUUCAGACGAAAAAAAAUAAGCGUGAACGAAGUUUAAAAUUGGAGAAAGAAGUUAAAAAUUUGCCCACGUGUGGUGGUGUUGAUCGUCACAUUCAAUGAUGUCUACAAGAAGGUAGAGGAAGAAAAUUGAGUUUGGUUGUCCUGUAUAUCUCCUGAAAAGUGAGUGACGAAAAGUGAGAUUUUUUUUAGAGUGUUGAGAAAUAUGUAAUUCAAAUUAGUUAGUUAGGGCUUAAAAACUAUAAAAGGCAAUGUAUAUGUAAGUAAAUUUAGUAAGACAAAUACAAAAAGUUUUGAUUCUCAUCUUUCUGGUCUUGCAUUGUUACAAUGUGAAUUUAAGUUUUCAAUUUCUUUCGUAAUUUGUUCCCAUAAAUUGGUAUCAAAGCAAGGUUCGAUUUUUGGCCAAAAAAAGAUGGAAAAGAAUGGUCAUUUUCCAGCAAAUCUUCCUAUUUUCAAUGGAAAGAACUAUGCGCAUUGGUGUGCUCAAAAGAAGGUGAUUUUCUGGUUUCAAGAUGUGCUUGAAGUCGUUAACGAUGGUGUUCCUGAAUUGGCAACAACUACCACUAAUGCGUAGAUGGCUUUGAAUAAAGAACAAAAGAAAAAUUAUAGAAAUGGCUUGUUCAUUAUCCAUUAAUGAGUCGACUCCAACAUUAUUGAGAAGACCAUAAAUGUUGAAACUGAAAAAGAAGCAUAGAACAUCCUCAAGAGUGCAUAUGAAGGUGUUGAUAAGCCGAGGAAGGUGAAAUUACAAAGUCUUUGAAGGCAAUAUGAGUUAUUGCAAAUGAUUGAGUUGGAAACCAUUGCAAAGUUUCUUACAAGGAUACUACAUUAACAAAUCAGAUGAAGUCGUGUGGAGAAGCGAUAACUGAGUUGAUGAAGGUAGAGAAAGUUCUGACAACUUUAAUUCCUAAUUUUGAUCACAUUGUGGUGGCUAUAGAGGAAUUCAAAGAAUCUCUCAGAAAUGAAGUUAGAAGAACUCCAAGGUUCUUUGGAGGCUCACAAAUUGAGGAUCAUGCAGAGAAACUCGGUGAAAGUGAUUGAGAAAGCUCUACAAGCUUAGACAUCAAAGAAGAAUUUCAUUGAUGGAGAAAAGUUCAAGAAUGGGAAAUGGAAGAAUCACAAAGGAAAAUGAUCAAGUGAAGGUACUAGUAUACAAGGUGCUCAAGAAGGAAGCAAGAAAGGAGGAAUACAAAAUGCAAGAAAAGAUUGACAAGAAAGGAAUUCAGUGCUUUAAUUGUCAAAAAUAUAGUCAUUUUGCAAAUGAAUGCAAACAUGACCAGAAUCCUCAAAGGAAUGAUAAUGAGGUGAAAUAUGCAAAUGAUGGAGAUGUAAAUUCACAAGAGGUGUAUUGUUGAUGGCAGUAACCAAACCAAAAGUAGAACAAUCUGAUUUUUGGUACUUAGAUAUAUAGGUUGCUCAAAUCAUAUGACUUGUGAUAAAGAUUGGUUCAAGAAUUUGAACAUGGAGGUGAAAAGAAAAUUCAGGUUUGCAGAUUGCAAUAGUGUCACUAAUGAAGGUGUUGGUAGUGUAAAUUUUUUGAGUAAAGAUGGAAAAAGUUUCUACAUAAAUGAUAUGCUUUGUGUUUCAAACAUGAAGAGUAACUUACUCGGUCUUGGACAAUUGUUGCAAAAGGGUUUUUCUAUGAGGAUGGAGGAGAGUCAACUUAAGUUGUAUGAUGCAAAUUGUAGACUAAUCUUAAAAGUUCAUUUGUCAAGAUAUAGGACUUUUAAGAUCACAUUGCAAGUGAUGGAGCAUAUAUGUUUGUCAACCACAAUAGAAGAUGAAAACUGAAGAUGGCAUAAGAGGUUUGGUCAUUCGAAUUUCAUAAGCUUGAGUUCAUUAGAAGACAAAAGGAUUGUAUAUGGUCUUUCUAUCAUAAAGGUACCAACUCAAGUGUGUGAAAGAUGUUGUGAGUCAAAGCAGCUCAUAAAUGUUUUCAAAGCAGAAACAACAAGUAGAUCAAGGAAAAAGCUUGAAGUCGUAUUUUAUGAUGUGUAUGGUCCAAAUGAGGUCAAGUCAAUUGGAGGUAACAAUUAUUUUGUUUCUUUUAUUGAUGAAUAUACUAGAAUGAUGUGGGUGUAUAUAAUCAAGAAAAAGAGUGAAAUAUUUGAUGUUUUCAAAAAGUUUAAAGUAAUGGUUGAAAAACAAGGUGAAUAUGUGAUUAGGACUCUUAAGACUAAUGAAGGUGAAUAGUAGAAAUCAUCGGAGUUUGCAAAAUUCUGUGAAAAUGAGGGAAUUGUUCAUGAAGUAAAAUCAUAAUAUACACCUCAGCAUUAUGGUAUUGCUAAGAGAAGAAAUCAGACUAUCCUAAAUAUGGUGAGAAGCAUGAUGAAUGAGAAGGGAAUGCCUCGUUAUCUAUGGGGAGAGGUAUGAAGUAGCAAUGUCAAUCACAAGGUAUGAAGUAGCAAUGUCAAUCACAAGAAAGUAGGAACGAAUUGUGAUUUAACCUUUUUAAAAUUUCCUGUUGAAAACUUAAGAAAAUAAUUCAAGAUUGAUCUUGGUUGUGAAAACGAAGAACGUUCUUGGUUAGUUAAAAUCAACAAUUUAACUUAUCUAUUUAACUUGGUAAUCAAAAGGACUUAAAGUAAAUAGAGAAAAGAGAAUAGAUAUCACACAAUGAUAUAUCUUGGUUCACCCAACUCGGGUUACGUCCAAUCCUUACAACCGUGAGAUUUUCCAGUAAGUGCUCAAACGAAAAAUGUUCUUGAUUUUACAAUAUUCUUGGUUCUACACGGUUUUUGUUAAGAUCAACCUUGAUUUGUAACAACAAUUCCUUUCCACCCAAAAAUGAUUCAAUUAAGUCACCUAUCAAUCUUGAGAUGAUUUUACAAUUCACCUUUUAACCAUAAAAUGAUUUUUACAAAAACUACUCAAACUAUAAACAACCCUUAUAGUUUUAAGUUUACACAAUAAUGAUUUAUAGAGAUUGGUAGAAUCUGAGUAUGCUCAACUCGUGUUUGAGAAUGGAUUCUUGACAAAAGAAUUCAGUGAAAUGAUUAUGAUAUUUGAAGUUAUCAAAUUUCGGCUUAGAGAGGUGGAAGAAGUUAUCAAAUUUAAUAUAUGGCCGUGUCUUGAAUAUAUUUCUCUAGUUACUAAUAUAAAUGAAAGCUCAAAUUAUGGUCAUAUUAUAAACAAAAAUUAACUUUUUAGAUCAUUUAAUGUUAUUAUUUUUAAGAGUUAAAUAUAUUUUUAAUUCCUCUAAAUAUACCAACUUUUAAUUAUAGUCCUUCUAAAAUUUCUUCAAACUUUAAUCCUUUUAAAUUUUCAGUUAUCAAUUUUAAUCUUUGUUUUUUAACAAAAAUUCACAUUGUAUAUUCGAAAUAAUUAUUUUUAUGACAUUUCACUGUUAAGACUUUAAAAUAUCAUUGUUAAAAGUACACCUGAAUUAACUAAAAUGCAAGGACCAUAGAACGUUGUAAAUAAGUUAUCCACCACCAAUUAAAAUUAUCACAUGUAUGUACUUCAUUAACUAUGUCAAACUUUAAAUUCUAAAAAAAUAAUUCAGUACACGUCAAUGAUUGAAAUUAGUUGUUAAUAAUUUAUUCAUAUUAUUUUAAAGUCAGCAUUUAAAAAGAUGGGAAAUGAGGAAAUUUUUAUUUAUCAAAUUAACACUAAUGACAAAUUCUACAAGGGUCUCCAAGGAAAUUUUAACUCGUACCGUGAAAUGAGCUAUCACCUCAAGUAUAUAGGGAAACAUUUUCCCCAAACUUAUGCUUUUAUAGAUAAUAAAAGUUCAGGUAUUUGUAGCAGGACUGAAAAAGUUAAGUUCUAAUACCCACCUUCACAUGUCCCACUCAAUUUUCUUUAGAACAAUCUUAAAGAUCUCUCAGAAAAAAGAACAAUUUAAAAGACUGGAACCAAUAUCAAGUUAAAAAGAAGAGAAAAGUUAUAAGGCAUUAUCAUUGCACACUACAUCUUGCUAUGAAAAGGCGACUCUCUACCAAGCAUUCAGGCUAAGAGCUGAAGCUUGAAUUGGUCUCUUGUUUAACAUGCUCUUGCUUCCAUCUGUCUCUUGUUUCAGAUUGUUGAGGAAGCCAAAAAUACGAAAUAACUUUCUAAAAUUGUCUUUUGAAUUAAUACGUUCUCUUUAAUACAGUAAGUACACUUUUUAGCAGAAAAUUGUGCAGGAAAAUUUUGAAAUUGGGGUAAUAUGCUAACGCUGCUCAAAGCCAUGUACCAAAUCCUAUUCAGGCCAGAUCAGUGCAUUCUUUUUCUUAUGUACAUAUAUCACAUGAUUUUCCUCCACCCAUAAGCCAAAAAACAUGUCAGUUGACAGUUAUCUCCUCCAUGUUACUUAUGUCCUCAGUAUAAUGAGUCUUUGGCUCUAAAUCAAUGAACUGGUUUGAUUUACUAGCUAAAUGGGAAAUGCUAACCCUCCCUUGCCGCUUAAUAUAAUCAGCAACAGCUUUCAUCUCUUCUGGUGAGAUGUAAAUAAAUUUCCCCCUAUCAUCCAUGACACCCGAAAGCCGACCUGACACAUAAAUAAAUCAUUAUUUAUGUUUGCCCCUUGAUUGCACAAAGUGAGAUAAAAACUUCCAUUUUUGAUACACCCAAAACAACAAAAGAACAUGCUUAGAGUAGGCAUAAAUCAUAACUGUUAGAGUAUGGACAGCCCGUAACUUGCAAUAAUGGGGUAUAAAUUAUAACAACAAAAUUAAUAAUAAUAGUCCUGAUUUUGUCACAUAUUUCUUCUACUUAUUGAAGCCAUUGCCAAUUAAUUGGCCAUCUAACAUGGUAAAUUGGCUGUAUAUGAGUUCAAAAGAGAUAGGUGAUGGAGAAGACAAAAUCUAAAAUAAAAAAUAAAGCAGGGGGAGGGUAACAUAUACUUCUUUUGAUGGAUGGAAAUAUAAAAGGAAAGGGUACACGAAAGGCUCUUACCCAUACUUUCCAGAGAUGUGAUGCGAUUGAUACAUUCCUGCAUCAAUUUACAAUGUCAUAAAAAAGGAAACCCAUGGAUGGGAAAUCUAUCACUCAGAAUUUAUUCAUAAAUAAAUUGAUAGAGUACCAAAAAAAAGUGUAAAUAAGGUUUCACUACUUCGGAAGAUUAGAAAAGGAUCUGACCAGUCAGUUUAACACCCAUAAAAUUUGAGUUGUUGGGAUAUCAUCCUAUUGAGAAAUUGUUUAGAUUUGAUUUUGCUGUAUAUUAUCCUUACAUAAUCCCAAAACUUAAGAUUGUUUCUUUUAUCCUGGUAUAUAAUAUAAAUAUUCUACAAAUCAUUCAUGUAGUACAACACAAAUUAUUCAUUAUUCAGACUCAAAUAGGUGCCAAAGCUUUCUCAUCCAGAAAACCUGGUUUUGCCUUUGGCCACUGACCCAUUUCUGUAUUGUCAUUGUGUAUCCUUGAAAUUUAAAGUACUUCCUAAAGAAUACAAGUAGUAAUUAAGUGCUUUGGGAUUAUUAGUUUUCUCAUAGUGCACAAAAAUCAAAUGGUACAAAUCAUGAGUAGCUGCAGUAUAUAAAUAUGUAAUCAUCCAUGAAUUGAGCCAUUGAUUAUUAUGUUGAGAAAAAGGGAUAUGCACUAUCAGUGUAAAACAGUUUUACAUUGUAAAAUAGUUUUACACUGACAUCCAAUAACAACCAUGUAUUCUUCAAAAUCACCCCACUUUAAUGGUAUGAUGACAUGGAGAAAUAGAAAAUUCCCAUUGGUUGUCAAUGUAAAAUUUUUACACUGACAGUGCAUGUCCAUUGAACUCUAUUAUGUUCUCCUCCACAUGUUUUCUUUGUUUCCCUUCCCCAGUAAAACUUGCCUAUAGAUAUCAUAGUGAUAUCACAUUUGGUUCUCCCUAGCUUCAAUUACAAAACAUAAAAAAAGUUCAUAAUACUUUAAAAAAAUAUUCCAUGCCUCCAGGUAGGCUGAUCUUUCUAAUUAAUAUUAACUUUCAUUCUAUAACUUUUGGGAAAAUAAAUUAGAUUUUAGGGGGGAUGGUGGUGAGUGAUCUAAGUGGCUGGUGGUUUAUGGAGUAUAAGAGUCCCUAUGUAAUACUAGUCAUGUUUGUUAAUACAAAUAGAGGGAUUAAUCAACGUGUGUAUAACUGUACAUAACCAGUCUCUGUAAAUAGUGGAAUACUAUGUUCUCUCUAUUACAUCUCCCUUUGUUUUCCCUGCAUCUCUCUUUACACUUGUUUUCUUUCCACACUGCUAAAAAUAUCUAAGACUAAAUAUAUAAGUAGAAAAAUCAAACUAGACACAAAAUAUCUUGCAUAUAAAUCAUAAAACAUAUUAGCAUAGCAGAACUUUUUAUUCUGUUACACUGUUGCUCCCAUAAACUAGCAGCAACAAACAAUAUAAAAAAAUGAAGAGGUGAUAGAGGGAAUAGAUUGGUUGAUUCAGAUAAAGGAAAAGAAUUAAAAAAAAUACCUGUGUACGCAAUUUAAAUUCUGCAGCAAGAUCUUCUAAGGGCACACAUUUGUGCUUCUGAAUGAUUACACAAAAUUUAUGUCUAAAUUAGAACAGUUAUAAAACCUCCCAAAUAGUUACAAUUAUAACCCUAGCUAAUAACAAUUAGGUUUCAAUGCCAUAUUGAAUCAAAUAAAUAAAAAACUUCGGACAAUUUAUCAAGGCAGAAUAAGAAAAGUAAGGAUAUAAAAAGUACAAAACAAAAAAUAACCUUUAUAUAUUCAACAAAAUUGGCAAGCAAGUCUUCAGUUUUAUCCUGCUCCUCUUCAAGGGUACCUUCAUCAUCUAUUGAAAAUUCGCCUUUCCACUUCUCAAACUCUAACGCAGCAGCUUCCUCUUCCUUAGCCUUCUGAGCCUUGGCUUCCUCUUCCUACAUGAACAAGUAUGUGAUUUGCCAAUCAAUACACCAUAAGAAAGCCCAUCCUAUGAUUAAAUCAGAACAGGGAUAUUGACUCACCAACAUACGCUCCUGUGCCUCACGCUCUUCAUCCUUCAACCUCCGCAUUUCUGAAUAACGGUCAUGUUUUGACUGUCUUGACUCUCGUGAUGCUUCUUCAGCCUUCCAAAAAGAUGAACCAAAAUCUAAUCAACUACUUAAACUUCAAUCAACAUAGACUCCCUCCCCCGUCGAAUAACAAGUAGGAAUACAUACAAUAUAUAAAACAAAAAAAAAAAACAUCUAGUCAACUAACCAUUAAAGACACUAGUUCAAGAUUUAAUGCUCUAAUGUAGAACCAGUGAUAAUUAAAUAAUAUUUAAUAAAAAAUUUAUAAAAUAUCCAAACAACGGUAAAAAAUUAUAAUUAUUUAUAAUUUCACAGAAUCAAAACUGACAUUUUAUUUGUAAUAUUUAAAGCAAAAUAUAUAAACCAGAAAUCAGAUAAAAAUAAGAAAAGACAACAAAUAGAUGGCAUAAUAAUUAUAUUUAGGCAAUUGCUAACAAGUGCCCCAAGGGCAUUUGUUAGGAAAACAAAAAUAGAAAUGCAUUGGAAGUUAUGUUUAGACUCUUUAAAAGUGUGAAAUUUGUUGUUUUCAAUAUAAACCUUCCAUUUUUUAUUCCUUAACAAGUGCCCUUAGGGUACUUGUUAGCAAGACCCUUAUAUUUAUUACUAGUGUUGUCAAAUCAUUGUGCCGAGUCUCAGCACACUAAGCAAUAGGGUACUGCAUAUAGCAUAGAGUCAUGGUCGCCGCAAUAGUGUUUUUUAACCACUGUACCUAUUUUCAAUAGAGUAAUGACCUAAGAACAAAAAUUAUCAAUGCCCUCAUAGGACUUGCACUUGCUCUCUCCAACUUGUUUUUGUGAUCUAUUCUCAGUACUUUUGUGAUGUGUUGUGUACACAACAGAUUUUGAUUUUUGCUAGGGGUCCCAUCCAAAUGAAGAGAUUUGGCAAACAAAUCUGCUUUGGUUUUUUUAGCUUGAGAGAGUGAGCAGAAGAAGGUUGUUGCUGGCACUCAUGGCUGCGGCAAAGAACUGCAGAAAAUCCACCAAGGAGGGUGUUGAUGACACUCCCAAGUUUAAUUGGUUAAAACAAAGACAAGAUUUGGAGAUAGAGAAAGGAAAUUAUCUCAAUCUCAGCUAAGUGGGGCAACAAUGGAAGCCAAAUUAAGCAUCCUUGGUGUUAUCUAUGCUACCUCAUUUCUCCUCCUCUUUUGUUCCCCCUUUAUAUAAAAUAUUAAACAUUAAUUCCUUUUGUUUUUUGAAAAAGUCACAACAUCAAACCGCUCCAAACAGGUGAACUGUUGGUAUUUACCAGUUCAUGAACUGGUUUUUUGGCAGAGCAAAUCUAUAGGUUAAUUGGACCGGUUACCAAGCUGAAUUUCCGUCAACUCCAGUUUUGAGAUGAUGUCUUCAAUAAUAAAAUGUUACCCAAUAUCUGAAUGUCAUGUCUGUCUAGUAUUCUUCAAAGUAAUUCUAUCAUGUACAUGACAGUUUAAACAAUAGUUUGCAAAAAUUAUAAAUGUCAGUAUCCUUAUUAAACCUUCAUUACACAUGUAUUUCAUUUCAAGAAACCAUCUGUUUUGGUUAGUCAAAUGCAAAUUACUAUGCUUUUUGGCAGAGGUUAAAGGCACGUUGCAAAUAAAAAGUGGCCACCCAAAAGUAUAUCCUAGUAUCUUUAAUAAUUAAUAAUAUUAAUAAAUAAAUGAACCAGUUUUCAACUUGUUAGAAAAAAGAAUACCUGUCGCCGAGCUUCCCUCUCUUGCCUUUUCAUUUCCUUUUUCCUUGAUGCUUUGGCUUCAUAGGACUCAUCACCACCAGCUUCAUUGUCACUUUCAUCCGCAGACUCUGUUCAAAUGUAUACAGUUGACCAUUUCACAAAUGAAAUUCAGAUUCAAGAAGCUAUCCAUGAACAUUGUUCCCACAAGGCACUAGACAGCGUAUAUUUAAUACUUUAACAUCACCUACUAGUUCAAUAAUACUUCCACAUAACAAAAACAGAGAGCCAAAUAACAACGGCAAGUAGUUGAUUCCACAUUAGAAUUCUACCCUAAACACUGAACAAAAAAAAUCAAUUAAGUACCUAGCGAAAUAGUAAAGUAAGGAAAUAUGCACAAAAACCCCCAAAUUACCACAGUUUUAAUUUUCACGUCCAUCAACCCCUCUAGUAGAAAACAACACAUCUUAACCUAAAUCACAUCUCUUAUUAUUUUUAUUCACCAAGGCGUUGUGUCAAACAUAGAAACGCACAAAUUAAUCCUUAAACCAUACCACAUUUUCAAAUUAAUUCCUGAAUAAUGGAAAUCAUGUAAAAAAUUAUCUAAAUGACCUUCUAUACGUCAAAUUAGUCCAUGAAUGUGUUUUUCAUUGGUCAAAUUAUUCUUCAAAAUACCUAAGAUGAAGGCUAAUUUGACCAACAAACUAAACAAAAUUUCACCAACUUAAUACAAAUCCAGCCACUUCAAGCAUAUUACAUAGAUUAAUUCAUUUAUUUAUUCGAAUCCAACGUCAAACAUUAUCAAAUAGAAAAAUAAAAUUAAAACAAACGAAUUACACGAAUAACCUUGUUGCGUUGCAGACGGAGCCGACGAAGUGCUAGCUCCAGAUGCAGCCGGUCUCCGACGCAUGCGGCGAGUAGCGGUGGCGCGAACCACGGUUUCUCUCUGCGGAGCCUGACGAUUUGUGCACAAUCUAACUAAGAAUUUUUAUUUUUUUUACUUAAAUGUGGUAAAAUUAGGGUUUUGGCGUGGAAUUUGCAAACCUGGUGAGGUUCUUCGUUGGAAGAAGAGGAUCGUGAAUCGUGAUGGCGUUUCCAUAGAUAGAGUGGGAUUAGUGCUGCCACGAGAAGCAUCGAUAGUAUCGCUACGAAUAGUUCAUCCAUUGAUUUGAUGCAAACAAGUGAAACUCUCUCUUUCUCUCUAUGCGGAUUUGCCUCCUGCUCCUCCUCCUCCUUCUUCUUCUUCCUUUCGUUUCUCUCUCUGGAGGAAAUGAUUUCUAAACUGUGCUCGUUCGUUACUUUGUGAAACGAUGUCGUUGUGACUUCCCUUUUCUUCUUGACUCUACGGGUGAUGCAAGAUAAUUUUCGGGAAAUAUAAAAAUAAAUGCUAAAAUUACAAAAUUACACUUUGUUUAGUCCCAUUGCUUUUUAGAUUUUAGUCUAAGUUAAAAAAAUAUAUAUUUGACAUAAUUUUCUAGUUUUUUUCAUUUCAUUUUAAUCUUUUAAGUUAAAAUAUUAUAUUUUUAGUCUUUAAAUUAUUUUAAUUUCUUUUAAUUUUUCAAAUUAUAAAGACUAAAUAUUUUAUUUUUUAAUAAAAACAAUAUUAUAUAUUUCUCUAUUCACUGUUUUAUUUGAAGAAAUCAAGGGUGCCCGACCUCAAAUUUAAUGUUUUAAAUGAUUGUCAUAUUUUAAACUAAUUUUUAAAAUGUAUUUUAAAAAUCAAACUAGAUCAAUUAGUCAAACCAAAUUAAUCUAUAAUAGGACACAUAAUUAAUUCAAUUAAGUAUUUCGGUUACUUUUGAUUUUUGAUUUAGCUUUAGAUAUGGAUUGUCGACUUUUCUCACGUUAAAUUCUUUUAAAAUAUAUAUUUUGUUAACAGUAUUUUAAAAAUAUUGUUUAAGUAUUUUAAAUAAGUAAAUUAUUUUAUUAAAAAGUUAAAGUGGAUUUUUUCUUAAAUAUCCUUUUUUUUUAAAUCAAAAAUACUUUAAUUUAAAGUAAAUAUAUCAAAAUAUUUUACUUUAAAAAUAUAAAAAAUAAAUAAAUAAAAAGGGAUUAUGAUCGAGUAACUAACUUAAUCCGUAUAUGUUGUACACUUUAUUCAUAAGAGUAUAUUUUAUGAUGAAAUAGCUCCAACGGUUAUACUUUCAUAAACUUGAGACAAACAUGGUAGAAUAUAACUGUUUGAGAUAUUCACCAAAUAAAAUAAGUCUACAAUUUUUUUUUUUUAUUAUAACAAUUUAAUAUUUUAAAUCUCCACCCCACCCUUCUCCCAUCCACACUUUCAAACUAUCUUGUUUAUGUUCCAAUGUUCAUAUUAGGUCAAUUAGUUAAUUUAUAUAUGCAAUUUAUUAUGUAUAAUUUUUCCCAUGCAUCAUUAUUUUUAUUUUGCUUAUAGUUAUUUUAUAUUUUUUAUAAAUAAUUUGUUAAGCAUUAAAAUUAAUUAAUGUCUAUUUUUAUAAAUUAUCUUUGUUUAAGUCUCUUUUUAAUUUUAACUGGAAUAUAUCAUGUAAUUAAUUGAAUCUAUAUGAACAAGGUAUAAUGUAUUACGAUACUGCAAUAUAGAGGCAUAUGAAUACUUAAUAGCCAUUCAAAUAGUACUCACAUUAAAAAUAAAAUGGACAUUGAAAAUAAAGUGUACAACGUAUACAAAUUAUCUCAAUUAUUCAGUCAAAAUCAAAAUAUUGGCCGAAUAAUGCAACAAUUCUACUCAAAUUCUUUUUCUUUUUCUUGUAUUUUUUUACUAAUUUUAAUUAAUUUUACAUUAUUAUUAUUUAAUAAUUAAUAUUUUUAAUUAUUUAUUAAUUUUUGUUUAUUUUGUCAUUUAAUAUUAUAGAAUCACCAUGAUGUAACCAACUACUAGUCCCAAAAUUACUUUUAGUCUCAUUGUUGCAUCUUGAACAUAGUAAAAAUUAAAAAAGUAGCGCAUUUUUGUUUGUUUUUUUUUUCUUUUCAAAGCAGAUUAUUUUUAAAAGAAAAUUAAUAUAUAGGAAAAAAAGAAAGUUAAGUAGUUCAAUUUUUAAUGCAUUAAAAACACAACUUUUGAUUAAAAAAAAGUGACUCAUUUUGUUUCAUAAUGAGUUAUUUAAUGUUUUUGUAGAUAUAUUAAGAAAUUAAAUAAUUAAAAGAAAGAUAAAAUUUAAAAGAAAUAGACAAUUCAUUUUACUAAACUACAAUUUUAACUAUUGAUGAUUUUUUAUUAUUAUCAAUGCAAAAUAUAAUAAUAUUUUAAAAUGUGUAUAUAGUAAUCAUUGAAUGGUAGUAAAUGAAAAAAAUAAUUAAAGUUGUAUUGAAAAUUAUAAAUGAUAUUCAUUUCGAGAUAAUUUUUUGUUACUAAAAUGACACUCAUCGUGAGAUGGAUGAAGAACUAUUUAAGAUUUAUUAUAAACAUGUAUUUAUGACACUCGUUACCGUUACAAAAAAAAUGCAAAUUUAGGUCUUGUUACUUUGUGGAAACAUUUUAUGUUUUUAUUUUAAAAAAUGUAAGUUCAUUUUAUCUUGAAGUGAGAUUCUUUAAGUGAAACAUUAUUAUGAAGAAAAGAUCAAAUGCUAGAUAAUAAAGAUGCAUUUUUGAAAUAAUAAAAACAUUUUUUUUUACAACUUAAUUAUUUUUAGAAAUGUAGACAAUUGUUUAUUUUACAAAGUCUCUUACUUUCUUAUCAAUGAAUAAAAUUAACAUAAAAUUUAAAAAAUAAAAAUAAAAAGUAUUUUCACAAAGCACACAUAUUAAAAAGUUUGGAUUUGACUCGGAGUGUGCUAACUAAAUAAUGAUUUGUUUAAGUAUAGUUACCACCUCAUCGAUACUUGUGAGCCAAUGCCAUCUGGAACGUAUGCAAGUUAAUGCAACCCAACAUAGAACAUUAUCAUUUUGAUAUUUAAUUCAUCAAAAAAAUUCAAAUUAAUCAUUGAACCAUUAAAAUGUCAAUCAGUUUAGUAUAUGACAUAUAACGAUCAAUGAUUAUUUUAACAUUAAAUUGUAUCUUUUAGUGACUUUUAUGACAAUAAAUUAUAUUUUUCAUAAAUUAUUUUAAUGACUAAUUUAGAUUUUUUGUUAAAUCAAAUUGAUUAUGUCUUAUACUUUCAAAGUCUAAAAGGGAAACUAAUUUAUUUAGUAAUAUGUUUAAAGUUCACUUAUUUAAAGUUCACUUACUUACAUCUUGAGUUCGUUUGUUUCAUUCUUAUUAUAUGCAACCAAAAUUAUCUCUUCCUCUCAUUUUUUCAUAUGCUAACAACGAGGGUUUUUCAUAGUUCGUGAUUAGUAGCGUGGAUGAACAAUAUUUUACACCAAUCACAAGGAUUUAUGUGCAUAAGAUGAUUUCUUUUUAAAAAUCAACAAACUCUUCUAAGCAAAUCACAUAUCACCGAAAUUACAAGAAAAUAUUUAGAUUAGACAACUCUAUAUCUCAUCUAAGUAUUAGAGCAAAAAAGGAAACAUACAAUUUCAUCAUCCCCGAUUUUUAUAGGCUCAUUUAAGUUUCUUUUUAUGCAAAGUUCAUUUGAGUGAGUUAGUGUCGGUCAUUGACCGUAUAAGACUAAUAAUAUAGGGUUUAGUUUUUUUUAAGAGUAGUAGUAUCUGAAAAUAAUUGCAUCAAAGCCUUCAAAAUGGUUUAAUUUUUUUUUUCUUUGAUGUAAGGCUCUUUUUGAUGUUAUUUAUAAUUUAAAUAAAGUUGAUGUUAGGGUUUAGGAUUUAGGGUUUAGGUUUUUCUAACGUUAUUUACAAGGUUUUUAUGUUAUUUACAAUUUAAAUAAAGGAUAAUUCUUUUUGAGUUUUUUGUGCUUCUUUUUAUUAUGAUCUAAUUUUAAAAAUUAGAACAAGAUUUUCAACAUGUUUGAAAGACUUUAAUUUGAAUUAUACAUGGUCAAUUAUUAUAUCAUCCUCUUUACAUAAAUAUAGUUAAAUAUGUAUUUUAUUAGUAAUUUUGUCUUUGAAUAUGUCUUUCACUAAUUAGUUUAGUCCUCAAAUAUGUUUUCUGUAAAUCAAUUUAAUUCAUAAAAUUACAAUAGAAUAGAGGAUUUAUUGAUGUGUUUAAUUUCAAUAUAUUCAAAUACUAUAUUAAUCACACCUCAUAUAUUUAGAAAACUAAAAUUACUGUUCACUUUUAUAUAAAUAUUAGAAUUUUGGUUGUAACUCCCUAGAUAUUAAUUCAUGUCUCCGCCGCUUAUUAGAACACACUUUGAUAAUUAGAUUUAUCUCUCUCAUCGUUAAAGGGCCGUAUUGAGAUUGCCAAUAGACAGUAGCAAAAAUAACUGAUAAGUGUUAUAGAAAGUUGAGGUAUUCAUAUGUUGUACAAUUGCAUAAAUUAGCUACUGAUUACAUGCUUACAUGUUUAAUUAAUGUGCGGUGCCUCAUGAGAUAUCUUGAUACUUCUUCCAAUCGUAGAGGAUAGACCCAAAUGUUUAUUUUUUUUAACAGAGGUACACUUUUAUUGGAUUCAAACUUGACGACCCUUUUCAUUAUAUUCCGUAAAUAGCCUCAUUAUAUCUCAAUUUACCCUAUUAUACGCAUUACUCGUAUCUAUUUUGAAAGCCACUUCCUCCACCUUACUCCAUGCUUUUCCCUUGGCCUUCAUGUAGUGAAUAAUCACUACACCAUGAGCGACCUAAUGAAUAGAAAGAACACUUCUAGAUAGAACAUAAAUUUUUUUAUACGUUACUAAGAUUUUAUUUACCAGAACCAAAGUCUUCACCACUAGAACCAAAAGCUUGAUUCCAAUGAAAAUAAUUUUAAGGCUUCUAUAAAUCAUCGAGUCCAGUAUUUUUAGGUCAUAAAACUUUUAAUCAGUUAAGUAACGCAUUCUAAAGGCACAUGGUGAGGCUGGUAUAUAAACACUGGUCAAGAUUGACUCCAGUCAGACAAAUCUAGACCAUCCAAUCAAGAUUAUAUGAUACAGAUUUCAAGUUAGAAUUUUAGUUUUAAAAAUAAUAAGAUCUGAACUUAAAAUCUUGAUCAUCCGUUGAUCGGAGAGUGUGCCAAUGUUGUAACUGCACUAAAUCCAAAGUCAUAUAAACACCUAGCACGGUAAACCUAAAAAUUGCGUCCAUGUAUCUGAAAUGUUAAAUGAAGUCGUAUGAAACUCUAUUAAACUCCUUUGAUACAUAUUAUUGAAGCAAAUAGCACAUAAUAUCAUAAAUUCCAUAAUCCCACAUCACAACUGUUGAAAAUACCAGAACACAAGAAAUACCACAAUCACAUAUAUAUACCCAGCUCAAAGUGAGCUAGAUACAACUAACACUUUCAAGUUUCCAGCUGCUCAGAAACCAUGAAUUUUGAUAUGCUCCUUCUUCACGAUACCAGCCUGUUCAAGUCCACAAGUGCAGAAGAAUAAGUAUUUGAUAAAGAAAAUUAGUUUGUCAAUUAAUUAUAUGACAACAUCUCUAGAAAAGUUCCUUAUUUAGAUUUCAAUACAAUGAAAGGCGUGAGUAAAUGUUUUGUCACUGCAAGGAAAAACAAAUAUAUGAAGUAAAACUUAAAGAUAGUUGUGUUUCAGUGCCGUAUCGUGCUAUGUAUUCAGGAUUACUAAAAGCUAGUUUAUAGGGCUUUAAGAACAGACUCAUAAUACCAGUGUAAUUCUGAAUGCAAAAUCAAUAAACUUAAUCUCAGACAACCACUCAUAUAUGUAACAUCGUUGAUUAUGCCACAAACAAAACAAGAUAAAUACAUGGAGCUCAAUAUAGAUAAAAACGAAAAAGGAUAAAUAAUUCAGACAGCAUACUGCAUAAAACUAAAGAUGGGAGGUCAUUAGCUACCUGAAUUAGGAAUGUAGAUACAUUCUUCCUCUGAUCACCUUGAAGUUGAAUAACCUACCCCACAAAAAAUGUUAUUUGAUGCAACAAGGAGUAAAUAGAUCAUUAUAUAACACGAGGACAUCAAGACUGACCUGUCCUUGCUCUGGGUCCUGGACAACUGUACCAUUACAACAAAACUCCUUCUUAAGGUCUUUAAGAAUCUUGUUGUAACUGAAUUCUUUCUUCAAUCCCUGCACAGUUGUCAAGCUUUUUCUACCAUUUCGCUGCUGUAUACGAAUAUGCACAUACUCUUUUGUCCCAGCACCGGAAUCCUCAGCAUUUGCCUCAGCAAAAGGAUCUAAAAUUGAUGGCACACAUCCCACACAGGAAUCACACGUUAAUAAUCAAUAGUUAAGCCUGAUUAUCACAAUCAUAGCAACCAGCUAUUUCUGAUCUACAUAAUGAAUGUUGUGUGAGGAUGUAAGUAUCAAUUUACUUUUUUACCACAACCUUCACAAAGGUUAGUACCCAAGUGUAUCAAUUCAUUAUAAACGCAAUCUUAAAUCACCUUAAGCGCCCCAAAAAACUAUUCCAGAGAAAAGUUCUGUACAAUUCUUGGCAUCUUUUUAGCAUCUUGUUCAAUGAUGGGAAGUAAUAUAAUUGACAUUUGACAGAACAAUAUUAUUAAUAUUCUGGUAAUAGUUAAAAGUGAAAGAUAGGCAACACAUGUCCAAGACAUAAUAGUAAAACCAAUAUCAGUAAGAAAGCAACAACAUUUCUGGAGUAUAGUUGAAGGUAUAAAACAUCUACAUUUCAACAUAAAUGAGCAAAUAACAUUUAUUUGUGAAAUAUUACAUAAAUAUAACAAAAUCAAUAGAUAAUUAAAGUGAGGAAAAAAUUCAAAACAGAACAUGCUAAUGUUAUAAUCUGAGACAGCAUUUCAAAGGAAUCCGAGUACUGUUUCCUGAAGGACUGCAUAUAAUGAACAGAUCAAAUAAUCUGACACACAACACUCAUCAAGAGGUAAAGAUGUUCAAACAUACCGAAGGUAGUAGGAAUUUGUGCGUCUAAUUCAGACAUGAAACUUAAUCUCCAAAACAGAAGGUCCCACCAACCAGAUAGCUCAGACCUGGAUUUAGAAUCAAAAUGUUAGCUGAACUAUAAUAACAAAUUAACAACAAGCUCCACUUUAAUACAACAUCAAAAUCACUGUCAAUAAUCAUUGUCCACAAACCCACCAUAAACAAUCUAUCUAUCAGCAGUGAAGAACAGAAGGAAAAAAAAUCCUGAACAAAUCAGCAUCCAGGCCGAUCACAAACCCUUAGGCAGAGUUCAACAUGGAUUUAAAUCAAAUUAUUCAAAAUCAAAUUCAAUAUUUCUUUAAAACAAACUACCCCCAAAGUUCAUUCACAAUAUAUAUUAAAAUUUCGAAACAAUUUCAUACAACAUGCAUAAAAAUUAAUACACAAAAAACAAAAAUUACAACUAGAUACGUUACGGUUGAAAAAAUCAGCUAUAUCAUCAAAGGCAUAUCAAGUAAUCGACUAGAUCUGAAUCACAACACUUACUCGUCAAAAAAAAACACAGACAAAACUCAAAGACUUAACAGAUAAACAAAUCUCUAAAUUCCAACAAGUCGUGCGAUUUGAAUAGAUAAGAUCUGAUCGAAACAAAUAAAACCCCCAAAAAUUUAGAGAAACUACGAUCAAAUUUAGACAAAACCUAUAAUUAAAAAAUGAAAAAUAGAUCUUUAAAAGGAUAACGCGAAAGGAACGAUAAUCUGAUUAUACCUGAUCUUAGUUUAGGGUUUCGAUGCGUAAAGCAGUGGGGUGAUUAGCGAAGAAUAGAAACCCUAAAAUUGGAUAAGGCAGGACCUUCUCUCAAUGAGAUUGCGUUGUUUGGGAGGAGAGAAAGUAGGGAAGGAUAAAUUUUAAACAGGAGGAAAUAUAGAGAGAAUCGUGAGGUACUUUUUGGGUAAUUGAUUUCUACUCUCGAAAAUGGGCGAGGAUAUUCACGCGCUGUGUAUCUAGUAGGUGGGACCCAGGAUAUGUUCGCAAAUAUCGGCGAGUGGAGUUCAAUUGGUUGGUCGAGACGGUCGGAAUGAUGUUUUUCUAUAAGGACAAAACUGUAAAUACAAAUGAAGCAAAGCAAGUGUCUACUAUGCUCAGAAGCAACUAUUCUAAAUUGGUAAAACUAAUGUACCUGAGUACUUCUAGUAUCCGGGGCCCCGAUACUAUUUUUUCCUACCACUAGAAUCAAUAACUUUUUAUAUAAAAAUUUCGUCUAUUUGAAUUUAUUUAUUGUUAUAAAUUUUAUUGUAAUUUUAUUCAUACUUUUGGUUGAUGUACUUAUGUUUUUAUUCUUAAAAAUAUUAUAUCUCAAAUUCGUAGAUAUGUUUAUGAAACUAAAGUUAGACCUUAUUUUAUAUUUUAACAAUUAAAAUAAGUUUUAGUUUUUAGUAGAUAUGACAAAUAAAAUUUUAUAUGUGUUGAUAUUUAUAAAUUAAAUUUUUUAUAAUAUGAUUAAAAUAAAUAAAUAUUUUAACUGUUGUUAGUGAAUAGAUAUGAAAGCAAACAUAAUAGUAUUUGCAUGUAUGCAUAUCCAUACAUGUUAGUAAAUUAUUAAAAGGAAAAUAAUAAUUGUUAUGAACAAUUUUUUCAAAACAUAAAUAAGAAAGAUACCGUAUUUUCACCACUACCCCCAUGUUUUAUGCCAAAUGUUAAAAAGUUAAUUUUAUAUGAGUUUAAUUGUUAUGCAUUGUUAUUGUAAAAAGUUAUAAAUUGUUAAUAUAUCAUAAUUAUUUAUGAAUGUAUUUAAAAAUAAUUUUAAUAAAAAUUAAAUAUUUUAAUAAUUUAAUAAUUAUAAUUGAUUAACAAUUUAAAAAAAAUUUACACUAACAAUAUAUAUAAAUUAGACACAAACAUUCUUGCAGUUUUAUUUUCCUCUUUGUAAUGAAGAGCACGGCUCUUAUUAAAAUUACUAAGUUAAAAUGUAUUUUAUUUAUAUGUUAAUAUAUUAGUAAUUGUUAGAAUGAACUUUGUGAUACAUUUUUAUUUAUGUUCUAAUGCAUGAAUAUUUUUAUAGGUUAAUAUCUUUUGAAUAUAAUGAUCAUACGUUGUUGAUUAAAAUUAUUUUGCGAGAUUUUCGACUUCUGCUAAUUGAUUUGUAGGAUUUCUAAACAAAUGUUAAUUGUAAUUUCAAGGAUAAAAAUAAUAUAUAUAUUUGGAUGCAACUACUUUUAUAGAUAUUUAACCGUAUAUAAUUAUAUAAUUGAUUAGAAAUAGACUAGAGCGUUCGUCAGAAUUUAUGAUGUAACUUGACGUGACAUAUUUAAUAAAAAUGUUAAAAAAACUAUUUUUAAAGUCUAUUUAUUUAAAUAGGUCAGGAUCAUGUUUAUAAAAAAGUUUAUUGAGCCUAACAGACCGGCCUACAUAUAAUUUAUUAUUUAUUAAUAAUAUUAUUUCCUAUUUUAAAGUCUAUCAAUUAUCAUUAGCCGUUUCAUAUUCGGUAGUCAUUCUAUAUUCGGUAGCAAUUCUAUUUUCGGUAGUCGUUCUAUAUUCCGUAGCUGUUCAAUUAGACAAUUACUCAAUAAUCGUUUCAUAUUUGUUUGAGAGAUAAUAAUGAGUGUGUUUGUUUGAGAGGUAAAAUUAUUUUGCGGGGAUUUUCGACUUCUACUAAUUGAUUUGUAGGAUUUCUAAACAAAUGUUACAAUUACGUUUGCCGCAUAUUGUUCGAUCAUUGUAAUUUCAAGGAUAAAAAUGCUAUAUAUAUUUGGAUGCAACUACUUUUAUAGAUAUUUAACCGUAUAUAAUUGAUUAGAAAUAGGGAUAGAAAUAGACUAGAGCGUCCAUGAGAGUUUAUGAUUUGACCUACUUAUGAUUUGACCUAACCUAUCUAAUAAAAAGGCUAGAAAGACUAUUUUUAAAGUCUAUUUAUUUAAAUAGGUCAUGAUCAUGUUUAUAAAAAAGUCUAUUAGGUCUAACAGGCCGGCCUAUAUAAUUUAUUAUUUAUUAAUUUUAUUUAUCAUUAUUAUUUAUUAAUAAUAUUAUUUCUUAUUUUAAAGUCUAUCAAUUAGGCAAUCACUCAUUAGUCGUUUCAUAUUUGGUAGCGAUUCUAUAUUCGACAGUCAUUCCAUAUUCGGUAGCCGUUCAAUUAGACAAUCACUCAGUAGUCGUUUCAUAUUUGUUUGAGAGAUAAUAAUGAGUGCGUUUGUUUCACGAAAAAAAAUAUAUUUUUAAAACUAAAAAUUAUUUUUUAGGGUAAAGGGUAUUUGUUUCAGAUUUUUUUUAUAUAAAGACAUAGUUUAGCCUAUUUAAAAAAAUAUAAAAUAUAAAUUUUCAUGUGAAAAAGGCUUAUAAAUAGGCUUUCAGGUCAAACCAGACUUUUAAAAAGGUCAGGUCAGGCCGAAAAAAAAGCCUAUGAUAGACCGUAGGUCAGACCUAGGCCUAAAAAACUAAUCGUUGGCUAAGUUCAACCCUUUCAAAACCUGAUGUGCCCUAACCUAUUCUCACCCAUAAUUAGAAGUCACUUAAAAUUAAAAUUUUAUUUUUAUAGAUAUUUCACCGUAUAUCAUUGAUUAGAAGUCACUUUAAAUUAAAAUUUUAAUAUUGAUCGACAAUUAUAAUAAGUAAACGGUCUUUUUAUUUUUUAUAAUUAAGAUAAUAACUCGAUUAAUGUCAAUUUGAUAAAAAUAAAGAUAAACUAAUAUUAUAUAUCUUGUGAAGUUCAAUUUGAUAAAUCAAAAUUAAUAAACUCAACGCCUUUAUUUAUAAAAACUUACUUAUAUAUAAAAACGAGAUGAUUCAUUAAGUUAUAUACUUGCCAAAAUAAUUGCCGAUGGUUAUUAAAGAUUUUAGUGAUUUUUAAACACCGAUUUAAAUUGAAUAAUCUAUAAAAGAAAAAUAGUCCGUAGUUGAAGUUGCUUAUAUACUCCCUCAGUUAUAUAACUAAAAUAUUAGUUCAAAAAUUUAAUAUAUUUAGUUUAAACUUUUCUUCGAUCAAGUUUUAGUUAUAUUUUAAAAAGAAAUAAUGUAUAAUAUUGUAGACACGUGAAAACAACAAUCUCACUUGAAAAGAAGAAAGAAAAAGAAGGGGAAAAAAAAAACCACAAUCCAAAUUAAGUGAUCUAGGUGUUGUACAUGCACCAAUAAAACCACCUUACCCUUGCAUGAAAUCGCUAUACGUGGAAGCUCAAAAACAAGCAAAGAAGCAAACAUAGCCACCCCACCAAUUUCCCUUCCACGUACCUAAUUAACAUGCAACACCCCAACUCCUAAAUAAAUACCACCCUCUAUAAUCUCUCUCAAUACCCAUCAAAUAAUUAAACACCAAAAACAAACAAUCAAUACACACACACCACAUUCCACAAAACAAUGGCCAAACACAUUUUCCUCGUAACUUUCUUUGUAGCUUUAAUUCUCUUCAUUGCUCACACCAACGCCUCAAAGGACGAAAAAGAAGAAAUUCCAGAAAGUUGCCACAAGCAACUCAAGAGUUUGAACCUAAAACAUUGUGAGAAAUUCCUCAUGAAGAGGAUGCAGAAGGACGAAGACGAGGACGACGAUAAUGUUAUAAAAAUGAGGGGAGUCAACUACAUUCGAAACCGCGAAGAAGGACUAAAGGAGAACUGUUGUGCACAACUUAGUGAAGUGAAUUUCUUGGAUUGUAGGUGUGAAGCUUUGCAAAAGAUAGGAGAUAAUUUGAGUGAUAAGUGUGAUAAGAAGGAGAUGGAAGAAAUGGAAAGGGAGUUAAAGAUUUUGCCUUUGAGGUGUGGUAUUACACCACCUCUUGGGUGUGACUUGAGCUUUGAUAACUAAAAAAAGGGGUAAGGGGUCAUGUGAUGGCUUAAUUAUUCUAAACUUAGUUAAGCUAUCUCUUUGCUUUUGUAAUGUGUAAUAAAGAUCAUUAAUCAUAUGAUCAUGAAAUGAAAGCACAUAUAUAGUGUGCUUUGUGGCUCUUUGC
rnacentral:lncRNA from 1 species